AUAUAUAUAUAUAUAUAUAUAUGUAUAUAUAUAUAUAUAUAUAUAUAUAUAUAUAUAUAUAUAUAUAUAUGCAUGCAUNUUUAGCGUAUUUGAAGUUUUUAGAAAAUAAUUUUUGUAAUUUUUCGAUAUCAUUUACCUAGCAAUCGAAAGGAUUCAAAAUCAAUAAUUUUUAAUGGCUGAAAAUAAAAAUCAUAUAAAAAGUGGUGAUAUAGCACUAAAAUUUUCGAUCAGAAAUAUUGAUCUUGUUGUAGAUAGUAUAAAGAAUUUUGUAUCAAAAUUUCAUCUGAUUUGAAUAUUUUUACACCGUUAAACUUGAAAACGGCAGAUAUCAACUAUUAAAAAUUAUUGAUUUUGAAUCCUUUCAAUUGCUAGGUAAAUGAUAUCAAAAAAUCGCAAAAAUUAUUUUCUAGAAACUUCAAAUACGCUAGAUCAAGUCUAACGGAGUUGAUCAUCGAUUUGAAAAUUCCAUCAUCGAAAACAGCUCAGGAGCACGGAGGGCUCCGUGCUCCUAAUAGCACAUAAGACCUACUCUCUCUCUCUCUCUCUCUCUCUAUAUAUAUAUAUAUAUAAAUUGUGUAUAUAGCAUGGACCACAGGAGUAAGCAAUAACAGGGGAGGCUAACUGUAUAUGGCUUUGAUUCGGAUGCACGGUGUCCUUGGGAACAGGGAAAUGUAGAGAGAGAGAGAGAGAGAGAGAGAGAGGAAGAGCUGGAGAGAAUAAAAGUAAAACAAAGAAUGAUCAUCCUGCAGCAGUGGUGAAAGCCCCACAAAUCAAAGGAGUUAGGGUUCACCAGGAUCUGUCCCUUUUAUAUUUACAACCCAAGGACCUUUAGUUCAUGCUUACAGCAGGACCAUCCAUAUCUCUACAGCUUGAGUUGUUGGAUUUUGAUAAUUUCAAAUUCAUUACAAAUAAGCAGCAGAAUCGUUCAAUUAAUACACAUAAUUAUUUAGCGUACGUGUGGGAAUUGCAUCUAAUAUAUACGUACCCCCAUAUUUUCAUAGUACGAAAAGAGUCGCACCUAAUUAACGGACUCAUAAUGAUGUAUGCAAAAAAAAAGAGAAUACAAAAGAAAUUUAUGCAUCACGCAGAGACAAAAAUAACAGCAUAGAUUUGUAAACUAAUCUCUGUGUGCUUGUAAUUUUGGGCCACUCUAUUGAAAGGUGUAUUUAUUUAUUCUUGGGCGCACUAGUCCUUCGCUGAGACUCCAUUAUAGCUACUACUCUAUGGCUUUACUUGUUUAACUGUGUUGGCUACACUAUAAUUACUGUAAUCAUCAAGAGAGAGUGAUCUCUGUGUACAAUAUCUUUUACUAUCACUUUAAGGUUACAUAUCGUACUAAAAUUUCAUCAAACAUGCCAAUAUUAUUUAAAAUUUGUCUACCCGGUUUUUGAACAUUACUCUAUGUUUGAUAAUUAGUAGAAGUGGAGAUGGAUACUACCAUCAGGAAGAAAGAAAAGGAAAAACCAAAAGUUUCUUGAAUCCCCAAAAAGCGAAUCUAAUAUGAAUUACUUGUUUUUACAUAGAUGUAGAAAAUUAUUAAGAAAAACAUUAAUGAAAAAGUUCUUAGUCCUUUUAAUUUUCUUUCAGUAAUCAAGCUCACGCUUGAGGCUGCAAGUAAAAAGCUUUUUAUUUAGAAAUAAAGAAGAGUGUUGAGUCUGUAGCAAUUUCAACAGCCGAUAAAUAUUUUAACAGUAGAUAAGCAAUCGAUUCCUCCAUUAGCAUAAUCUACGGGAGAGCUAUGUUUCUAAUACUAUACAUUCAACAAUAUUAAUAUUUGAGCUGGUCAUAUUAACAUGGUUCCCACUGUAGAGUGGAGCUCAACAUGGACAUGAGGGGGAGGAAAAGGAGAUCGCACUUCUCAUUGUCGACCCUCGGAGCUGUACAUGUAUAUAUAGAGGUGUUGUGAACGUGACUCCACAUGCACACGCACGAGCGAAGUAUCAAAUGAUCGAUAUUCCAUGCAUGGGCCAUGCAUUAAAUGGAUUCCCCCCAUACUUCUCUGUAAAAAGCUUAAUUUCACGUGCGUGACAAAAAGAGGUCACAUUUGUAUCCUUUACUUGCAACGCAGUGGCUAUAACAGAUACAUAUAUACAUAGCCAAUUUGCGGAGGCCAAUUAAUAUACAUAAUCUGAACAGUGAAUCUCACAUUUUCAUUCUCAAAUUAUUUUUGUAACUGGUCUAAAUUUAAGAUUUGAGUUAAUCCCGGAUUUAACCCGAGGAGAAAUACAUGAAUAACUAAUUAGGUGAAGCUUUUAUUAUAUAUGUAAUAUAUCUAUUUUGCUACUGGUUUGAUUCCUUUUUUUUGGGGAGAAUAUAUAGUUUUGCAAACAGCUGUUUUUCUAUAUGCAAAGAUAAUGACACUGUGUUCUUCCACUUAAUUAAAAAUUAAAACCCAUCUACUAAAUUUGAAAAACAUAAUAAUCAAAUGCACACUCAUUGUGAGAAAAAGGCUACUCACAGUGGUUCCUUUUUUUUCUUUUUCUGUGCGCGCGCUUUUCUUAGACUCCAUACUCCAGUGGGGGCAAUCUUUUCUUUUCUUUUCUUUUCUUUUUCUUUUUCUUUUUCUUUUGUGGUUCUCAUUAAUACCGUUUAAGAGAAACCAUUAAUUAAUCUUUUGUGGUCCUCACUUGACUAAGUUUAAAUUUGGGGAACAUAAGUUAUAAGAUCGAUCAGAUCAAAACCCAAUAUAUCUUCUGCAUUCGAAGCUUCAGAAACAUUUGUUUAUACAAGAGAUCGAUUUAAUAUUAUUUAGGGUGCCCUUGUAUAUAUAUAGCCACUCUCCAUUUAAUGCUCUAUUAAUUUAUUUUACAUUCAUAGUUUCCCUCUUUGAAAAAUUAAAAAGAAAAAGGAAACCAAAAAUUAAUUAAUGUUUGUGAAUUUUGGUCACAUGACAUGAAGGGCGCAUAGAAACUUCCUGCAAUUAAUCUAUGGUUUCCAUAUAAAUAUGAUGCACAUUGACUUAGAAAAUACAUAUAUAAGGCUCUUAGAUAUUCAAAAUUAUAUAAGACAUUAAUUAAGUUGAUCGUGCGUGACAAUUGAUAACUGAUUUAAAUGUUUUUUUAAUAAGCAGGAAGAUCCAACUAUUUAAUUGUGUUGACAGACCCGAACAACACAACAAUCCAAUUCCAUCCAAUUGAUUAAAAAUGCAGUUUAAUUAUCUAGUCAAAACACGACCUUAAUUGAUAUAUAUAAUUAAAUAGAUUCAAAUUCAAAUAGUAGUAUCUUGUUGUUUAAUUGGAAUUCAUAUCCAGUAUACACGGACCGAAUCUUAAGUAAUAGAAAACAUUUUGGUGUCGUAGCUAGGUAGCUAUCUAGCUUAUGAUCGAUAUGAGGAUUAAUUAGGCUCGUCAAGUGUAACAAAAACUGUCACGUUCACGCACGCAAAGCAAAAGUAAAUAUAUGUAUACAUUACAUGCAUUUAAUUAGCACGCAUAUCGAUGCAUUUAGUCACUGGUUGCUGAGCAUUUAACAAACUUAUUACGGAAGGAUGUGCCUGAAAAUGGAUUUUUACAGCAAUGUAAUACAUAUUGUAAUUACCCAGCUUAAGUACUUAUCACCAUAUUUAGGAGAAUAUGGUAUUAAAAUCAUAAGCAGCCUUUUUUGUUUUAUUUAUGAGAAAAAUUACAUGUUAGUUUCAUAUUAGUGCAUGGUUAUGCUACACUGUAUUAUAUAUGAAUAAGAUAUCUACAUGAGAAAAUAAAUUAUAAAUAUGAACAUGAUUUCUAUUAAAGAGAAAUUUAAGACGUAUGGGACAGUAAUGACUGUGAAACAACCGUUGUACUUUAAAAACUUAAGCUGUUAGAGAACAGUAUUUUAAGCAUUUUUAUAUUUAACACUCUCCCCAUAACGUGGGCUUGAAUUAAAUGGGAGAAAAUUAAUAUGCUAGAAGCCUGGCGUGACUCGAACUUAGGAUCUCCUGCUCUGAUAUCAUGUGAAACAACCGUUGUACUCUAAAAGCUUAAGCUGUUAGAGAAUAGUAUUUUAAAUAUUUUUAUAUUUAACAAUGACCAUACGCAAAAUGUAUCGUAUCUCCUUAAUGAUAGUAUUUAAAGCACCUCUUUUUCAGAAGUUAGAUCAGCUAUUUACAUACGUACCUGGGGGAAAAAAUAAUAAUCGUCAUAAAAAAAUGAAGUGUUCAGUGUGUUUUAAUUGUUGCUAAAAGGACCAUGUAAAUCGUACGCUUCGACACGAUGCACCCAACUAAUGUAUAUAUAUGCGUUGUGACUCGUGAAUACAAAAUCACAUUUGUCGAUAGUGCAAUUGGAAUUUCUUUUCUUUAAGCCACCUUAAGUUUAUUUUUUUAAAAACGAUAAAAAGGGGAUUAAAUAUCCAACACAUGUAAAAUAUGUUAUCUUUGUUGAGUAUAAAAAUUAUAAUUACCGUUCUUUUAUAGUUGAAAUUUUUAGAAAUAAAAGAGGUCAUGAAUUUGAGCCCCUUUUACAUAAUUUUCGUGAUGAAAACUGAUCUUUCCUAGUAUUUAAUUUACCUGUGUAGUUCCUAUUUCAAAUCAACACUUCUAUUAUUUUGGACUUUUUUUUUUCUUCGUUUAUUACAUUUAAAAAUAAAUUUAGCUGAAAAUAUGAAUCAACUAGGAUUCGAACUUGGGACUUCGGAUACCAACCGUCACUUGCUCUAGGGACGGUCAGUAUUAUUUUGGACUUAUUAUCUCGGAUUGUUGGCAUUAACUAUUAAUUUCAAAAGCUCGAGUUAUUAGAAAUAUAUGAUCAACUUACUUAAAGCGUACAGAUACAACAUCCACGGGUCUCGAUUAUAAUUUGGUUCAACCAGCCUCAUGCCAAUUCGAACAUGACCUGGCUCAAUCUAAUAUCAUGCCAUUUCGAACAUGACUCGGCUAAAUCUUACUUCCCGCCACAAGGUAGGACAGUGGCCUAUUUAAGUUAAUAUUUUGAGAUGAAAAAUGAUUACUUUUGUAGUCCUUAACCUAACAUGUGAAAUCCCUAUUUCAAAUCAACCCUUCCAUUAUUUUGGACUCUCUUUUUUUUUCCCCCUUCAAGCAAACAUAGCACAUGACACCUACUAACAAGUGUGUCCUUAAUCUUAGCAACCACGUGGCUGUUGAUCAUUUUGUGUGGCUCCCUUUUGAUCGAAUCUCCAUCAAAAGGCUCGUCGAGCCAGUCAAAAAAAGACCAAGAUCCUUUCCACUUUUAUCGUGCUCGAUCGAUUUGUUGCUCUAAGUUCUAAUCUAGUAACUACACAAGGCGUGCAUUGAGUAGAUCACCUUUUCUUCUUUAUUUCUCUACUUUAUGCUUAAUUGCAAAGUUCAAUUGAGAUUGCUGAACGAUGAUCUAUCAACUUUCUCGCCAAAAAAAAAAAAAAACAAAACAAAAUUUUCAUUUUUUGUAAGGAUGGUCACACGUCGUUAACUUUGUUAUUUUGUAAUUUUAUGUUAAAUUAAAUGUUGUCAACAAACACAUGCUUUUUUACAUAUUGUAAAUUAUCUAUGUUUUAAAGUUAGGACAAUAAACUAUAUAUAACUCGAAUAACACUCACAUAAUCUGAAAAUAUUAUCAAAAAAUAAAAAUGUAGUGGAAAAUCAACAGAAAAUUUCUAAGUUAUUGUGCUUUAGAGUUAACGCUAUUAAAUUCGAGUAGCAAUGAGUUGAAUACGAGCAAUGGCACAGGAACGUACAUGCCCCUUUUUAAUUAAAUUGAUUUUAAGGGUGAGGCAAACUUUUAAUCGACUUUGAUGUGAUUGUACGUCGUUUUAGUUAAUGCAAAAUAGCGUGCACGUGAAAGCAAAUAUUUAAUCAACUUUAACUGCUGUUGAAAAUCAAGAGUUUUCACCAAUCAUUUUCCUCCCAUUUAAUGUAAUGUUUUAAGGUAAAAAAGGUACAUAAUUUAUUUUAACUUUGGACCAUUUUAAGUUGUCUAUCAAAUUUUCAAAAUUUUUUAUUUUGCUAUCCAAUCUUUUAAUUUGUUUGAUUUAAAUUAGUUAAUAGUAUUAUAAUUUUAAAAUUAAUUAAUUACUUAUUUUAAUAAAUUUAUAGUUACGAGAAUUGCAUAACGUAUAUUACUAAACAUGUCAAUACAACAAAAACGAUAUAUAGCGACACUUUUAAAUGUCGGUGCACAUAAAAAAAAAUGCUGCUGGAAAAAUUACCGAUACUUUUUAAAAGUAUUGCUAUAUGUGGGGUCACUAUAGGUAGGACCGCCUUAAUAUUUGGCAUCCACUCCUCCAGCGACCUGUGGCGAGGGAUAUGUGGUGAUUGUAACCCUCUACGGUCCCUAUGAGAUCAUCACGACCAAACUCUAGCCAUCGGAACCCUACCUCGUCGACUGCGGCGGCGGAGGAAGAGAAGAGGAGAUGGUGAUCAAUUUUUCUUUUUUUUCCUUCCUUUUUAUUUAUAAUCGGGCCGAGUGGACUGAAUGCGGUUGGUUGAGUAGAAAAAUAUUUUAUUUUUAAUAGAAUUGAGCUUUAUAUUUAGGCCUUAAUAAAUUUUUUAAAAAAUUUUUGGCAUAAAUGGGACACUAGCUUAUAUAAAAAUAUUCCAAGAAUGUGUCUCUAUAAUCUAAUUCUAUUGUUGUGUGUUAAGAUAAACGAUGUGUUCAAAUUUUGAAGUCCAAGUACCAUUGACUGAUUGCAAUUAAAUGAAGUUAAAAGGUUGAAUAGUAAAAAUAAAAUUUUGCAAAAUUGAAUAGCUAACUCAGAAUGAUCUAUAAGACCAUUAUCAGUGAAUUUUAUAAAUUUCUUUGUAAUAUAAUUUUUAUGAUCAAAAUUUUAUUCACAUUUAUUUAAAGAUAGGGCAUAGCAUCAAGCACGUACGAGGAAAUUGAAUAGAUUGCUACCGCCCAAAGCUCUGGAAUAGGGACUUUCUGAAAAGCCGAUCCAAAGGCGCGCAUAAAGUUGUUAGAAGCAAAAAAUUUUGAAAAAAAAUAAUAAUAAUAGUUAGAAGCAGCAUGAAAAGAAGCAGAAAACAGGAUAUGCUUAUAGCAAUACUUAGGGGCUGUUUGGUUGGAUGUAGUUGCAGAAACAGUGUAGUUGGAAAUACAUGCAAUUGCAAAUGCUGCAGUUGUAACUACACCUAGUCUAUUUGGUUUUACGCAGUUGCAACUGCUGCAGUUACAUUUCUUCUGUUUGGUAAUAUGAAGCUGAUAGUUGUAUUUGUGAAUUUUGUCACCUUUUCAGAUAGAGUGGUGAGAUUACCUUCACUAAACAUAAAAUAAUUGUAUAAGUUUAUUAAUCAUUUAAAUUUACUAUUUAUAAAUAAAUAAGUAGAUAUAUAUAUAAUAUUCUUCAACUUAUUAAUCGACACAUUUAAAAUUUUUAAUUUAUUUAAUUUUAAUAGGUAAAUCAAACUUUAAAAUUUAAACGAUUCUCUCAUUUUUUUUAUCAAAUUUAAUAAUUAUAAUUAAUUAAAACUUAUUAAAUUAACAUACACGAUCACAUUCUAUAAAAAUUUUUUAAAAAAACUAUAUUUAUAUUUUAAAUAAAAUAAAUUUAAAAAAUUUAAUUUUUUGCACAAAGCUUGUAUUGUCUAAAAAAUUUUAUUAGUAUGAGUUUAUUUACAAGUAUUUUUAUUUACCUAUAUACAUAUAUUAUUUAUUUAUUUAGCUAUUUAUUUAUUUAUUUAUUUAUCAUUGUUAAUUUGUGGGUGAUCCUAUCCCUCACCAACUGCUGGAGUUGGAACUACGGCCAAUUUGGAUGUAGUUUCAACUGCAGCAUUUGGACCUUCUUAUGUAGUUGGAACUGCAGCAGUUGAACUCAACUACACUAAACCAAACAAAGGAAUUGAGGCUGCACGCAUUUGCAACUGCACUGCAGUUGCAAAUGCAUGCAACCAAACAGCCCCUUAAUGAAAACCUCCAACACACCACCAAGUUCAAAUUCAAAACUAAAGUAUAAUCUGACGCCACAAAAAAGCACAAAAGUAGAAAGUUAUGUUUUUAUCGACUGUCCAUAGUGUGAGUGACAAAGAGUUUGAUAUCUAAGAUUUUAAGUUCGAAACCUAAUUAUUUCACAUUUUCAGUUAAAUUUAUUUUUUUAGAAAAAUUAAGGAAGCGGAUAAUAUACUACAUUUUCUCUCAAAAAAAAAAAUUACACACUGAAAUAUUUAAAAGCGCUUCCAAUUGCUCUUCAUCUAAUGCUAUAAAAUUAUUGUGUGAACUAGGUCUGGAUAAGCAUUGGGUCUAAAUUUGGCCUUAAUGUUGAUGAUCUAAAUGAAUAUAAAAUUGAGAGUUUGGAUCAUAUGCAAAAGUAUGAGGGGGAUAUUCUUAUUGGCCUUGUUAGAUCCAUAACUAAAUGGCUCUAAUAAUGACAUGUAUGGCCAAACUCAAUCUUUAUUAGACACCCCAACAACCCUAGGCUAAACAAGGACAUACACCCAUGCUUUCAUCUUAUCCUUUUGUGGUGUGUUUUGCUGGCUUAAGUACUUUAGAAGAUUCCUCAAGCCACUGUAAAAGAACAACAAGGCACAAAAGUUGAUUCAGCUUUGAACAACACAAGUAGGAGUUCCUGUAGCUCUUUUCAGUAAGUUCUUUGCAAGUCUAUUUAAGUUUAGUUUGAUAUUGAGAUCUUUCUAACGCUAUUAGAUAAAACGGAGUUGCGGAAAAAGUAUAUAGGGAUAUGUUUCUGCGUUCUUCGGUGGAACCGCAAAAAAUAUAUUGUAACCGACUCAUCGCGAUAUGCGGAACGGAAUAUUACGUACGGAAACAAAUAUAGCAUUUUUCCAACGUACUUUUUCACUGCACGUAAUGUAAUCUCCCCGCAAUACCAAACGAAGCCUUAAUUUUUUGUGAAGUAGUACUCUGUGUGGGAGGUUGGUUUCAACCAAAUGUAGGUGAACAAUAAAGCUAACCAACUACACAACAUUCAUUAUACUAAAGCUAACCAUAUGUACAGACGAGAAGAUCAUGGGUUCGAAGCACAUCAGAUGUUUUAUUUUAUUAAAUAAAAUAUAAAAAUACUGUACUCUAAUAAUUUAAGUUUUUUCAAAAAAAAAAAUUAGUUUCACAACAUUGGUAGUUCCUAAAGCACCGGAAAGAUAAUUUAGAUUUGAAAGACAACCCAAAUCAAAGCUGUUAAAGUCUCACUGUUGUAUAUAUUUUCCUGGUUCUUAUUCAUUUUAUAAGGUUUUUUUUUUAAAAAAAAAUAACUAUUGUAAUCUCUAAUAUUCUUUCCCGUCUCUUUCCGUUGAAUGCAAAUAUUAAAAGCAUCAUUUUUUGCCAACUUAAGCUUUUGGUGAUAACAUGGUUGUUUCAUAUUAUUUCACAUAAUAUUAGAGCUGUUUUAGAUAAGAACGAUUGAUUCAAAUUAUUUCACAUUUUGAUAUUUAGGUUUGUGAUAUGAACCGAAAAAAGCAACUUGGGCCAGAUGUCUUAGCCCGGUCUAAAACAAACAAUUUGGGCCCUAAUUGAGACACUUUAGAAGGCUUCGAGUAACUUGGGCCCAGGCUGAACCCGGCCCAACAACUGAGUUUCGUAUUUAAUAUACCAGCAAAAGUGGGCCCAAUUAGGCCCAUGAAAAAUUAAAUGAUUGUUGUUUGGGGUUCGGGCCUGGAAUGGCCCAGCCCAAACCAGACCCAGUUCCUGAAGCAAUUCUUCGCUGCACCGGGUGUAUAAGUACGUCUCGUACGCCAACGCCUCUUAUACAAAGCAUUAGUUUUAACUUUUAAUCAAUAACCAUAUAAUUAAACCUAGUAACGACCGCCACUAAGUAAGCUCAUCCUCAGUAGCCUUACGAGAAGAUCUUGAAAAAAAAAGAAAGAAAGAAAGAAAGAAGAGUUUGCCUAAUGAUGACACAUAUACAGGACUACGUUGUGUUAUGUGAUCUGUCCUAUAAUUAUUAUUUACAAUAUAGAUGCGUAAGUACGAUAAUGGUACAAGCUCAAUGUAAACAAGUUCGCAGCUCAAAUUUUAUAGUUAAAUAACGGUUGAAACUUGUACUGAUGACGUGAUUAGAUAUUUUCAUUAAUUUACCCGUCACGUUUUACUUGGAGCAGGUCCAUACGCAGCCGCCCCUUCCAAGGCAAACCAAUCUAUUUUUUUAGUUUUUUUAGUUAGAUUUGAUUUGUCAAGAAAAUUGGUAGGAUUUGUAUAAUAUUAUUUUUUACUCUGGGACGGAGUUGAGUUGGAGCUGACCAAGGGAAAGCGAACUUGGCGAGCGCGACGAAGUUUGCUGUCUUUCGAGAUCAGAUGUUUUCCGACACUUCAGAAUUGCGCUUCUCUGACUGAAGCCUGCAGGCAUAGAUGUGCUCCGAACAAAAUGUAAGAGAAGGCGUCGAAAUCUGAUGCAGUUGAAGCCUGGGGCUUCGUUUUUCGCCCAUCUAAUAUCGAAAUCUACGUAUAGCCGGAGCUUGUCAGUUUCACACUCUUUAGGAGUUCCGUGAAAUAAACGGAUCCUUCAGCUUAAGUUCCAAAGCCAUAAUUAUUGUAAAUGAAGAUUCGUAAUGUUUGAAAAAUAAUAGUUCUCUAUGAUUGAAUCGAUGGUUCGUAGAAUAGUAUAAUUUAGAUAAUAAAAUUGAUAAAAAAGAAUAAAUUUAAUAAUAAAAAAAUUAUAAAUAUGAAGUACAUGAUAUUUGUGAGAGCAUCAGAAUCAAACUCAUUAUUGUAUUGCCAAAUCUACACGGACGGAUCAGUCGGAGUUAUUGUAAGGAUCUAGGGCAUCUUUCAAAUGGUUAUCAAAUAAAUGGUUAUGGCUUCGUAGGACAUUUAGUUCGUGUCGCUGUUUCUGGAAUCAGUCAUUUUGUAAGGAUCUAAGGCAUCAGUCGAAUCUCUGUCCUGUCUUCUUCUACACUGCAGAUUUGUAACAUAUUGUUAGGAUAUAUAUAUAUAUAUAUAUAUAUAUAUCAGGAACGGGGACCUGCUCAAUAAAAAUGCGUGGGCCAGGUUGUUGCUGAUUCUGGUAAAUUAUAAUUGAAUUAAAUCCUCCUAAUUUUGAGGCAUUAUAAAUCUUUUCAACAACUUUCACGCCUCUCCUUUGGAUCCUUCAGCGACACGGAUUUCUCACCUCGAAACUGUACGCACGCUACAACUUUGGAAAGCAGAAGAUCCAUUCUUCAGUCUACAGACAUCUUGAAUUAUUAUUGAUCCAUCCUAACAAACGAAGAGAGCGGCGUGUUUGUUGUUUCGGCCGAAUUUUAAAAUUUAUGUAUACGUCUCAUCAAAACAUAUAUGAUACAUGUACGUACAAAAAGUUUGACAUAGGAAACCGUAAGUAGUAAAUAUAUAUAUAUAUAUAAAAAGAAGUCAAAAAUUAAAACUUAAUAAUUCUCUCUCUCUCAAAAAAAAAAAAAAAAAAAAAAAAAAAAAAACUUAACAAACCCAAAUUCACCUUCCUUUCUCGCAUCAAACACCGACCUCUGCGCUAUACAAUUAAAUUACUAGCUGUAAUCCUUCUUUUUUCUUUUUUCUUUUUUUCCUUCCGUUUUCUCGUCUUUAUUUACCAACAAUCAACGGAAAACUCUAGAAGCUUGGAGUUAAGAUGUUGAGGAGGAAGACUCUGGCGUUGACCAGCGAGCGAAACACCUUCUCGGUGCUCGUCUCCGCCGCGUUAAUGCACUCCUCCAGCUCCUCCAGCCUCUGCAACGCCGCUUUUCGCUCCUUCUCCUCCUCAUCCUCCUCCACUUGCUCCUCCUCCUCCUCCUCCUCCUUGCUCUCUGCUUUCUCGUGCUUCUUCUGCGCCCAUCUCUUUUUGGCCCUCUGCCUCCACCGCAGCAGAGCGCGGCCACGCCGGAGAAGACGGCGGCGGAGGCGGAGGCGGCGGCGGCGGCGGCGUCCCAGAGGGCGGCGGCGAGCGCGGCCUCGGCGGGGUCGGCGGCGAGGAGGAGGGCGGGGGGCGCGCGGGCGCGGGCGAGGGCGCGCGGGGCGGAGGCGAGGCGGGCGAGGGCGCGGUCGGCGCGGCGCUGGGCGCGGAGGGCGGAGGCGAGGCGCGCGGGGUCGCGGCGGCGGCUGCGGAGGGCGGCGCGGGUGUCGGAGCGGAGGUGGUUGAGGGAGAGGAGGGCGGCGCGGAAGGAGGCGUGGGCGUCGGCGAGGCGGAGCAGGGCGUCGAGCAGCGGGUCGGCCCAGGAGGGGCGGGAAUGGCGGAGGAGGGGGUCGCGGGCGUGGGGGUGGCGGAGGAGGUCGGAGACGGAGGAGAGGAGGAGGGGCAGCUGGGCCAGGCCCUGGGAGAGCCACGCGGCGGAAGGCGAAGGCGAAGGCGAAGGCGAGGCGGGGGACGAGGACAGCGCCCAGGAGCGGAGGGAGGCGACGUCGUCCUNGAGAAAAAAAAAAAAAAGGGGAGAAAGAGAAAAACAACACAAGCUGACGUUGACGCUGUCGCUUGUACCACCACCCCAAGGCCGCGUGCCACAGCAAGGGCCGCGGCUCCUCGUGGGGGGAGGUGGCCGGGCCGAGGCGGCGGCGUCGUUUCCGUUUCCGGUUCCGGUUCCGGCUCCGGGUCCGCAGCAUGGCGCGCGCGAGGCGCUCGGACGGCAGCGCCAAGGUGGGCGACGACCAGGUGGACCUCCUGCUGCAGCGGAGGGAGGCGAGGACCCGCGACAGGAGCAGGGGGCGGAGCGGAAGCGGAAGCGGAAGGCGGCGCACCGAGAGGGUCCCGGACCGGGUCGACGGGGAGGAGGAGAGGAGGCAGAGAAAAAAAAAGAGAAAGGGAGAAAAAGAGAACGGAGAAGGAGCAGCAGCGGCUUAAAUUAAAAAUAAUAAUGAUAAUGAUAGUGAUAAUAAUAUAAUUAAGUUUGGGGGUUUGUAUAACGUAGAGGGUGGGAGGGAGGAAUAUAUAGACCCGGGGGGUGGGAUGGGUUUGAGAGUACGGGCGCACGUGCGAAACGCGAGAAAGGACGAACGAGAAGGUGAUGCGGAUUCGGGGUCUAUGACUCUAUCGCUAUCUCUCUCCCCACCCCUUAAAUAAUAAUAAUAAUAAAAGAACAAAUAAAAUUCUUAAUAAUAGGGGGAGGAGGGAUCGAGAGAGUGGAGGGGAGUGGAAUUGGGAGACACGCACACACGGAGCAAGUGAGCGACACGUGGGGCCAACGCCACCGCCACCGCCUUCCUCGAAUAAGGACCGAUCAGAACAAUACCAUUUUCAAAAGCUUGGGGAGCAAGGAGUCUGUGCUCCAUUCUCAAAGCACGCACCUGUCUCACUGCCAUGCUAUUUUCCCAUGCCUAAUAAAAUAAUAAUAUAUAUAUAAGAUCUCAAAUCUUAUAUCUUUUUAUUCGCGUAUUUAACUUUUUUUUUUAAAAAAAAUAUUGUAUGCUGAUAAUAAACGGUUUUUUUUUUAUAAUAUUUCAGCUUCAUUUUCACUUCUAGACUUUGAUUUUAGUAUUUAUGCAUUCAACAUUUUCACUAUAGGAUAAAGAAAAAUGUAAAAUAAUUAUUUACCUUUAAAACCUUAGAUAUGACUCAUGAGAGAAUAUUGCCUUUUUUUUUCUAAAAUAUAUAUAAUGUGUACAUAUUCCACAAGCUAGUGUAACUAGCAUAUGAUAUGUAUUGUUAGGGGGGGGGAAUAUUCGAUCUUUUACUUGAAAAUUCGAAAAUCUUGUGAACAUGUUAGGAUCGUAGCGUUGGCCGAGUCGUGUAGAAUGAGUCAAGCUUCAAUUUUCAAGAGAGGGGAAUGCGGAGAUUUUUUUAUAAAAUAUAAUUUUUUUUAAUUUUAUAUUUUUUAAAAUGAUGCUGUCAAAUUUAUUUAUUUUUUUAGAAUUAUAUGAAUAGAUUAGUAUGAUUUUCAAGCGGUUAAGAUUCUAUAAAAUUACAUCGAUAGAUUUUUAGGAUUUUUAGAUUGUUAAGAUUAUAUGAAAUUAUAUGGAUAGAUUAUUAGAAUUUUUAGAUUGUUAAGAUUAUAUGAAAUUGUACGGAUAGACAAUUAGGAUUUUCAGACUGUUAAGAUUAUAUAAAAUUAUAUAGAUAAAUUUUCAGUUUGUUAAGAUUAUAUGUAACUUGUUAAAAUUUUUAUAUGCUUGUUAGGAUUAUAUAUGAGAUAGAAAAAGAAACAUAAAUAAGCGAAAAACGGUGAUUCAUUCGCCGUCUUUGUGAAAAAUUAAGAAGAUUCACCAUCUUCAUAAAAAAUAUUGGCCCUCACACGUAUGUGGCGAAAGAAGAGUUAAUUUGACAAAUAUGAUUUUAAGAGAAAUGUUUUAUAAAUUUUAAAAUUUUGGAGAAUUGUUUUAUAAAAAAGUCCAAUAGGGGGGAGGAAUCUUAAAGCUACGUGUGCUGCUCUUUCGAGCGUGCUCUGGACCAUAACAUAAUAUUAACAUGUGCUCCACUGCUGCGCCAAAUGGUGACUCAAACCUUUUGCCUCUUAGCAAUAUUUUUUUAUUGGGAAAACUUUAAAUACCAUUUUAAUUCUAUUUUUUUCUUAGUAACAAAUUACAAUCAUGUUAAUAUAAAAAUUCGAUAAAUUAUAGAAUAUUAAAAUAAAUAUUUAAUAAAUCAUAGAUAGGAUAUAUGAAGUUUUUUUAUAUGUACAUGAUUUAAAAAAGAGUUAACGGAUACGCUGAGAAAAAGAAAAAAAAAAUCACAAGACACUAAAGUGAAAAACCGUGAAACAAUAAAGAUGGUAUUUGAAGUUUAUCUUUUUUUUUUUUAUUUCAAAACCAUUUCAAAAAAUCAAUUAUUGUCCGGUGUCUGAUAGUAGUUCGACUAGUAAACCUAUGAACUUUUUUUUUUUUUUGGUUAAAUGGAUACUUUUUUUCAUCUGAAAUUUAUAGAUUCUUCAUUUUAUUUCUCUAGUACGUUUAGAUGGCCUGCAAAGUCUCACAUAAGGAAAAAAAAAAAUCAUGCAAUUCGCACGAUUGUAGUGAUUAUUAUUAUUAUUACAAUAAUAAGAGAUGAAAUUGAGGCGUCAUAGAUGCACGGUGUAUGGAUGAGCAAAUGCACUGGCUCUAAGCAACAUUUUAUUUAUUUUUCUCAAAAAGGGCCAAAAGAAAAAUUCGCAAAGUGGGACCAACCAUCGCGAUUUAACUUUAUUAACGAAUUAUAUUCCACAAAUUGCGGCGUGACUCCUCUAAUAUUUGCAACUUGGAUGGCUCGUUUUUCCUUUCCAAAGUGACAAAGAUCGCGACGCCACGUUUCUAUUCACUUAUUAUUAUUUCAAGAGCAACGCUACUGGUGCAUAACCGACUGUCCUUAGCGCAAGUGACAAAAAAUUUAGUAGUUGAUAUCCAAGCUAGGUUUUAAGUUCGAAUUCUGAUUGAUUCAUAUUUUUAAAUAAAUUUAUUUUUAAAUAAAAUAAACAAAGCGGGUAGUAUGGUAUCUAUCUUUCAAAAAAAAAAUUCUACUCAUGCACUUCAAUUUUACAUUCUCAGUUUUCAUGCACUUGUUUUAUUAUUUUUUUACGUUUUUACUAAAUUUUUUUAAAAAAUCAAUGCUUAAAUCUAAGAGUGUAAAAUAUAUAUUUUCCAUAGAGGAGGUAAAGCACCAUUUUCCUUCUCUUUUUAGAGAUUACAUUAUGAAAUCAUAUAUAACUCCGCAAAUUGUAGCUAGAGACUACUUUAUUAUUGUAUUAUUUUGUUUUGUUUUUUUUUUCAGAAUGUAAAGAGGCUAUUUAUGGGGUGACAAAAUGAUUUAUAAGAAAAAUAUAUUGAGAAACAUACGCAGAUUUUACUAGAUGGAUGACAAAUAGUGUGCUCUUCACAGUACCCAACGCCUAUAACGAAACAUUUCAACAGCAAACCAUGAUUAUAAUCCAAUACUAGAAAAAGUUUGGAUUAAGUAAAAAACUCGCAAAUUUAUAUCGUUUGAUUGACGAUUUUAUAGAGAAAAAGCUACUGCUACUGCUUUACAUUGAUUUUUCUAUUGAACUGAUCUGGAUUUAUAACACGUGACGUUUUCUUUUUUUCUUUUCUUUUCUUUUUUUUUUUUUUCGUAGAUAUAGAUACCACGCUGCCUGUUUCAUUUUUAUUUUACUUAAAAAUAAACUUAGCUGGAAAUAUAAAUCAAUUAGAAUUCGAAUUUGGGUCUCGAGUACCAACCACCAAACCCUCUGCCACUUGCUCUAGAAAAGAUCGGUCCUGCAAACAUUCNUAGCACGCUAACCGUUUCGUUUAUUUCAUUUAGAAAUAAACUUAGCUGGAAAUGUGAAUCAAUUAGGAUGCGAAUUUGGGUCUCGAGUACUAACCAUCAAAUCUUUUGCCACUUGCUUUAGAAACGGUCGGUAAAAUCUCAGUUUCUAAAAAAAAAAUUUAUUAAUGAAUAGUUAGGUGUGGGGUUUUAGUAUGGAAUUUACAAGCUUGUUUAAAAAAUAAAUAAUAGAAAAACUACAAAACUAUAUAUAUUUUCUGGGUUGUCGAAAGUUAUUAAAUAUUUUUUGGAGUUAAAUAAUUUGAUUGUCAAAUACUUAAUGCUUCUUCUUAAAAUUUGAGGACUUAUUCAGAAAAGUCAAACAAACCAAGCAUAUAUUAAUUCUAAGUUCUUUAUUGGCAAAGUUCAAUGAAACGAAUGAUUUAGAUAUUAUAAAAUUCGCGCCAGGCUAAUAAUAUUCUGCGUAAGUAUAAAACAACAUUGAAAGAGAUCUAAUCAAAAUUGUAUACUCAUGGAAUCUCAAAUUCUUACACUCUUAACAAGGACAGGUAACUUGGCAACCUUGCCAAUCAAUUAUUAAUAAUAUAAAAUAAUAUUUAAUAUAUAUGGGAAAAUUGGUCUCACAAACUGCGUGGACAAUAACUUUGAAGGGAAAGAGUCCUUCGAUCUAAUUCAAUUCCUGCUAUGAAAUUGUUGACUACAAACUUAGGAAAAGCAUCUUCAAGGACAAAUGAAAUUUAGAAUAAUAAGUUCUAUGCACAGUAAUUAUCAUCAUAUUUUUUUUUUAGUGACCAUUUCUUUGGCCUUAUUAUUGUUCCUGGCACGCGGUUAGGUUAUAGUAAUUUUAAAUACCAAGAAUCGCGGAAUAUUCCAGUGAAAAGAUUAUGUUGUUUUCUUGUAAGACCCCAAAUAGUUCUAUAUAUAUAUAUAUGAUAUAAUCGGACUAAUACUUUUAACCCAGCUCAAAUAUUUUGAGCGGUGAUUAAGCCCAAAAGAUUAAAAGAGUUAAACGUGUUAAGAUAGAAGUAGUUUUAGAAUCGAUGGAUGACCUCCCGAAGAGUUGGGACGUCACAUUGCUAACACGUUUUGAUUGGUUUGCAUUUAUUCCAAAUUGACUAUUUUAUGAUUGUAAAUUAGCAUCCAUAGCCCUAUGCGGUGCCUAUGUCAUUUUUUUCUCUAUUUUUAUUUUAUGAGGAUAAAUUUAAAAAUAAAAAUAAAAGAGAAAAAUACAACACGCAACCAAAGCGAAAACUUUAGUUAUCAAUGGAAGCUAGAGUACCUAAGUAUAUUGGCCUCUGUAAUAAAACUCGUCCCAAAUAUGCACUCAUUGUCCUUUCUCAUCUUUCGCAUUAGUCCAUAAGAUUAAGAAUUAUAUUUAUACUACUGGUUAAACCGUAAAGAGAUAAGGAAUGAGUGAUAUCCAAUAUUAUUAUAGAUAACUCUUAACUUAACUUAAUGAGCCAACUAGAAUAAAAUAGGAUUUGAAAAACUUGUAGUUUUAAAGUUGAGACAUGUUUAGCAUUUUUUUCUUGAAGUACAAUAGGAACACAUUUUGUCAAGUCAAUGCGGUAGUUAAGAUGGAUAAUGGAUGAUGUUUUUUUAUUACAUUGUUUGUUGGAUUAUUGUUUAUCAUUCUCCGAAACGAAAAGUAAUACUGAUUAGUUAGUUAUAUUUAGGACAAGAAGGGUGGAUUAUGGCUAAUGAAUCACGCAAUUAGCUUGGAUUGAGGACACUUUGUACUUCGUUAGGAAGAUCAAGAAAAGAACAUUUAAAAAAAAAAAACGCUUCCGUGCACCACAAUCCUGGGAAGGAUCCUUUACUUUUGGAAAAUGUUAAAGGGGGCCCAUUAUAUGCUUCUUGUGUAAAAGUUGUAGAGUGUUGCUAUUUGAGUUCAUAUUGGGUUUCUGAUUUGCAAACAAAACCGCUAUGUAGCUGUGGAUCGGGUAUGAGUCAAGAUAUAGGACCCGUUAAGUUUCGGAUCCGGGUUAAUGCUCAUAAACCUGCUUUCUGUUCCACAUAGAACACAAACACACACACACACACACAAAAAUCACUUGUUGAUACUUAAUUUUUUUGGAGAACAGUGGUUUUAUUGUAUCUUUCAACGUAGCAUUAGAGGGAUGUUUAAAUGCUUACUUUUGUUGGGAACCAGAUGAAUCGUCCGUCAUGCGCUACCAACAAAGAUGCACGAAAAAUAGAGAAAAUCGAACGAACGAUAAAAAAAAAAUAAAAUACAAGAAGAAUAAAUCGAGAUUUACGUGGUUCGGCAAUUGUCUACGUCCACGGGGAGAGCGAGAGAGAUGUAUUCAACUAUAUGAUGAAAUAAAAGUACAAACUUACACCUUAUAUUUUCUCCGGAUGAAAAUCAAGAGCCUGAUGGUGAAUCUCAUAUUUCUUUUGUUCCAACGAAAACUAAAAAAAAAUACAAAGAAAAUUUUUCGUAAAAUUGAGAAGACCAAAUUAGAGAAGUAUAGAAACCCUAAUCAAAAUCCUUUAUGCCGUUGCUUCGAAAAAUUCGAAUCGCUCAGACAAUUUGGUCGAGAACCGCCGCUCCGCCGCCGACUUCAAUCCAUUGCAUGUAAGCAGAAGCCGCGCACCUUGAAGUACUACCGUACGGCUUCAAGAACUUAAUUAAUUAGCCUCUCUCUUUUUCUUGCUGUCGUACGGCCUCAAGAGGAAAAGACCGGCCACCCUAAUUACAACUUCAAGCCGUACAGUCCAUAUAUAUAUAUAUAUAUAUAGAAUUGAGCUAGAAUACUUUUACAAGUAUCAUCCCCUAGGUGCUAUUAGGUUUUUAUCCCUUGGAUCUACUUCUUGAUUACUAAUAUCCCUUGGAUCAAACACUAUUCCACCUACCACCACCUACCACCAUCAUCUCAACCUCACAUCUUCUCAUCCAAAGGCUAAAAACAUAAAAGCACCACUCCCAUGGUGCUUUUAGAAGUAUUCUAGCUCAACUAUAUAUAUAUAUAUGGAUGCAUUAGCUCAAUCUUAUUCUAAUUCAAUGUGAUCAUUGAAUAUAGAGUCUUGUAUGGAAACCAAUCCUAGUCUAAUUAGGACUCCAACUUAAACUAGGAUCUACCAAUAAAAAAUUCAAAUGAGAUCUAUUUUUUUAUUCCAUAUAUUCGGUGUAUGAACCAAACCAAUAAAAAAGAAGGCAUAAUCUUUAACAAUUUUCGUGUUUGGUUCGAAGUCGGAGUCGGAAUUGGAAUCGGAAUCAAAAUAAGCUGAAAUUGGAAUCGGAAUGACUCAUUAUCUAAUUUUGUUUGGUUCAUCACCUGAAUCGGAAUCGGAAUAAAUUAUUCCCAUUGUCGGUGUUUGGUUCAGGUGGAUAUAAAAAACGUAAUCAAAUUAAUAUACUAUUUUAUAAUAUUUUAAUUUAAAUUCAAAUUAAAUAUUAAAUAUUAAAAAUUUACGUUAGAAUUUUGAAAUAAUGUCAAAAUUUUAAAUUUAUUUUUUUUAAAAAAUUAAAUUUUGAAGUUGAGUGGAUAAUUCAAAAUAUGAAACUAAAUUUUGAUUUAUUCAAAUUCAAACUUAAAAUUAUAAUUUAAAUUUUAAUUUGAAUCCAUAAAUUUAAUUUAAGUUUGAAAUAAAAUUUGAAUAAAACUUUAUAUAAAUUAAAAUUUAAUUUAAAUUCAAAUUCAUAAGUUAGAUUCGAAAUACUUGCUUAAAUUUUAAUUUUUAAUUUAAAUUCAAAUUAAAAUUUAAAAUUAUAUAUUUAAUUUUUAAAUUUUAACUCAUAUUUUAGUUAAAAAAGUUGAAAAAAAUAAAUUUAAUCCGAAUAAAUAUAUUCUGUCCGGAUUCAACUUUCAAUCCGGCCUAGAAGGCCGGAUGGAAAAAAAAAGGUGAUUGGGGGAUUCCCAUUCCAUUCGGGAAUCAGAAUCGGAAUGAGAUUCCCGCGUACCAAACACCCACAAACGGAUUCAUCUAUUCCGAUUCCAAUUCCAGGGUGAAAAAGAAGCGAACCAAACAUGCUCCGAUUAAAGGAAUGUAGGAAAUAACUCCCUAAAGCAUGAGGAAUUCUACACUGUCACACUUGCACCACGUCAUCAAUAAUAAGCCAAUUACAUUUCUUCUUUUUAAACAAAAGUACAAUAAAAAUAUUUUUUUAUAAUCAUGAUAGGACAUAUACCCCUAAAAAAAAAUAUUUAAUUGAUUUGUUACGCCACGUCACCAAUAUACUCGUUGCAUUCUAGAAUUUUUCCUUAAGCAUGGAUAGUGACUAUUGUGUUUGGAUCCUGGGAAAAUUCAUUCAUUAUAAAAUGAGCUAAUAAAAAUACAACACGCUACUACAUGGAAUUAAUUAAAUUUCGCCCUGUAUAUUAUGUUAAAAAAGAUUUUAAAAGCAUUAGCUUGAAUUUGGAUUCAAUUUAUGUAUUCUAAUAUUGCAUUACUCUCGAUUCAUCAUUUUCGCCCCUCUAAAUAUGUUCGCUUACAUGUCAUAAAUAUUAAGUCGCCUCUAUAGCUAAAAAGUAGUAAUUGAGUGGUCGAGAAUAAAUAGACUUUUUCGUGUUAGAAAUGUUGAAAAAUUCACUCAAAUCUCACAGCAAAAUAUACCUCAAAGUUAUAGUUCAUGGGUAAAAAUGUAAAGGUUUUAUUUGAGCUAUGGAUCAUUUUAAGUCGACUAUUUAAUUAAUUUUUUAAAUUUUAAUUUUUUUAUUCAAUCUUUUAAUUUGUUCGAUUUGAGAUAAUAAGCGGUACUUUUGACUUCAAAAUUUAACAUAUCUAUUUAAUUUAACAAAUUUAUAGUUAGAAAAAUUUUAUAAAAUAUACUAAUUAAAUUUGUAAAGAUAAAUGAUAAAUUUAGAUUUUAAAAUCAAAAUAUUACUGCUUGAUUCAAACUGAACAAAUCUAAUGUUUGGAUACCCUACUCAAAAUGAUAUAUAAUUCAAAUAAAUUUUGUGCAUUUUUAUUUAUUUUAUAUUUCCUUUUAAUUUCAAACGAAAAUUUACCAAGUCCCUCCAAAAUUAGCAUGCAGUGGCCCAUGUACGGUACCCGGCGAAAUAGGACGGAACACGAAUCUCAAAGUUGUACGUUGCAACGAGGGGGAGGUGAGGAACCCCGUCAGGGUUAGUUUGUUAACCAAAUCAUCAUCAUUGGAUUUGGUCAACAAAAUAAAAUAAGAACGUUAGUAAUAAAAAAUGGGGACACAGAGAGUGGGGGCACCAGAGCUUCUAAUAAUAAUUAACUACCAUUUGCUAACCAAAUUCACACUAAUGCACAUUUAAUUGCAAAUAUCAUAACAAUUCUCGUGAAACAUACAAAAAUUAUCUAAAAGUUUUGUAAUCUCACGCUAUUGCAACGCCUUGCUAAUUUAAGACAUAUAUGUGAAGAACGUCGCUUCGACAUUAAAUAACACACAUGCUGAAGCAAGAAAUUAAAAAAUAAAUAUAAGAAUUGACGAGCCCGUAGUAAUUUAAUUAAGAAUCAAAUGUAUUAUAUUAUAUGAUAGAACCAUCGAAACCUAGUGUGUUUUGUGUAAUAUAUUAAUUUCCUGCUUUAGAAAUUGAAAAGAAAUAGAUACUCAAAAUUUCAUGAUUUGUUAAUAAAAUGAAAAUCUAAAUACAAUUAUUUGAUUUCUUUUAAGUAAAAAAUAAUUGAAAAUCUAAAGACGAUCGAGAAAAGAAUACGACCACUAAUAUCAGGAGCUUUCUCUUACUUCAACACAACAUUUUCAUCAUUCGAAGGCCCUCUUUUUCUUCUUUAAAUUCUUUUCCUUUUCUUUUAGUUUCUUUUUAAUUCCAACACAUCUUUGUUUCCCUGGCCCGAUCCUAACAUGUGGCUUUUUGGUUUCAAAAUUGUUCCAUCUUAUUAUUAAGGCAAUAUUUACGCUAUAAUUGGGAAUUUGAAAGUAACAUUGUUUUUUAUAAAAAAAUUUGGAAGAAUAAUAUGUUGAGAGUUUACAUGUAAAUAGUCCCAUAUUAUAUAAUUAAAAGAGAGUAAACGGUUUAUAUACAUUAGUGGGUGCAAAUCUAAUAAGUUAUAUAGCAUAAGUAAUAAGAAAGUGAAAGAUGGAUUUGUACUAGUGGAUUCAAAUUUAAUACGCUUCAGCUUCCUGGAAUAGGCUCCGAAACUUUCUAACAAGUAGUCCCAGAAUAUGAUUAGAUGAUUUUGAGCUACUCGUCUAAGUAGUGUAGUAUGAUCGAGUUAGUGACUCUUACAAACACGAUGAGUUCAUAAAGAGGAGUCAUAGUUGCAAUGUGAUGGGUUUGGAUUAAUUCUUGAGUGGCGCAGACUAGAGCAUAUGAUUUUGGAUAAGCGAAUUCACAGUAAUGAGCAAAGAAGAGAGAGAUAAAAAAAAGUAAUUAAUAGGAGAGUAUAGAGUUGGUAUAUGCUAGGGCUCAAUCCUAACAGACUUAAACUUUUAGAUUGAAUUGGUUCUAUUAAAUAUGUUACAUUCUUGAACUUAUGUGGGUCUCGGCUGGACCCUGAAACUCUCUACCACUGUGCUCUUUUAUGGUUUUAUUUUUUUCCGCUUCUCUGGUAUAUGAGGUUGAGUUUCUUUUCUCUUUAAUUGUCUAAUUUCUUUUGAUCUUCGUUGUCGACCAAUAAAUGCUAAGUUCUCCUCAAUGCAAAGAAAACAAAUCUAGAACAUCAAUGGUACACGCCAAUCAAUCCUCAAAGUACAUGAGCAUCUUAAGUACGAAGUAAACAAGACUCGCAAGUAAAAAGAAAUGAGAUUUUUUUUUUUUUUUGAGAGAUAAGUAGCACGCUACUCGUUUCGUUUAUUUUAUUUAGAAAUAAACUUAACUGGAAAUGUAAAUCAACUAAGAUUCGAACUUAGAUCUUGAAUACCAACCACCAAGUCUUUUGCUACUUGUCUCGUGUAUGAUAAGAUUACUCUGGUUAUAAACAAAAUAAGCUUCUUUAAAUAAGUGCGACCAAAAGUGCACAAGUUCAAAACUUAAACCACGUUAUAUUGGAGCUAAUUAGUUUAUUAACUCAAAAUCUUGGUGAACAUAAGGUGGUGGGAUCAUCAAUUAUUGCAUAAUAAAAUUGGUGAACAUAAGGUGGUGGGAUCAUCAAUUAUUGCAUAAUAAAAUAUAUUGCACAGCGAAAAAUCGAUCCCGUAGGAUUGUAGGAGCCAUCAAUCAUAUCAUAUGCAUCAUAGAUGCAACAGUGUAAAGGAGAGCCUACACUAUUUACAUGCACAUAGACAUAGAUAUUUAUAAUACGUUAGCUAUAAUGAAGGGAAAAGUAAUAUGUGUGAAUCCUAAUGUGAUUCCAUUAAUAAGAAACCCUUUUGUUAAGGGGGAAACACUUCCUGUGAGAGUAAGUGUGGACUGGGCCGAGAUGGGCCGGUUUUGGGGUGGGUCGGGCCGAUUAAAACUAAGUUAUGUGGGUUCGUUUUAAAUUUAUAUAUUGGGCCAAGCAACAUCGAUCCAAUUCAAGGAUAGGAUUAAUUGAUAGGCCCGAGUUCUUUAUUUCUGUGUCGGGUAGAGAUGGUGAAAAAUGAAAAAAAAAAAAAAAAAAAAUGUGACGAUUACAUUUGUUCCUGUCCUUUCUCACUUAAACAACUUAGCCUUUGAGCUUUAACAAAUUUUUUUUUUUGGUCAACGGUUUUUUUUUUUUUUUUUUUUCAACGGCCGUUCGAAGCACAAAAUAAUAUAUUAUUAUUAUAUAUAUUAUAUAUAUAUUAUAUUAAAUUGAGGUAGAAUACUUUUAUAAGUAUUAUCCCAAUGAUGCUAUUAAGUUUUUAGCCCAUUAGAUCUACUCCUUGAUUACUAAUAGCUCUUGGAUCAAAUACUCUUUCAACCUACCACCAUUCAUCUCAACCUCACAUCUCUCCAUCAACGGCUAAAAAAUUCAAAACACCACACACAUAAUACUUUUACAAGUAUUCUAGCGCAACCUAUAUAUAAUAUAUAUAAUAUAUAUAUAUAUAUAUAGUAUAUAUAUAUAUAGUAUAUAUAUAUAUAUGAAGUUUCAAGUUUCAAGUCUUUUUUUUUUCUUCUCUCUAGAAAGUCUUAGUUGCUUUCACCUUAUAAGCUUAGUUCAUUUCACUUAAUGAAUGAAGCAGUUUACUUGCUACCUUUUUCUCAAAAAAAAAGUUUUGUUGUUUUACUUUUUGAAUUAAAUUUAUUUUAUUUGAAAAAAAAAAGAAGAAAGUGAAUAGUAAUUAUCUUUUUUCUCUAAAAAAUAAAAAGUAAAAAGUAAAAAAAGAAAUAGAACAACUUAAUUAAUACCAAAAAAGAGCUCAUAUCCGAAAUUAAUCAACUACACCUUCUCAUUAAUACUCCAACAAGUAGUUAACAUAAUCCACUCCCUUUGAUUCAAUGCAUCACAUACAGUGGAAAAAGGAUAAGAAAUUAAAAUGAGAAGCACCUCCUCCUCUUCGUCCUCCUUUACAAGAAACUAACAUGAAUGGUGUGGUUCCUCAGUAGAGACACAACGUGCUCCAUGAGCUCCUCCUCACAAGGCACCAUGAGAGGCCCAUCGCCAUUGGUGCCAAACUCCUCCUCGGCCAUUUCUAGCAACACCUGGAAUAUUGGGUGGUCCAAGUACUUCAGAGGCACCACAAAUCUCUUGCCACCCUUUGAAUACACCACAAAGUGCCCUUUGCUUCUCCUCUUCGUUCUUGCUAUUACAUGCCAUUUUCUCAUUAUGAGCUCACUUAGCCUAUUACUACUCAUGGCCUCUCUCUCCUUCCUCUCUCUCUCUCUCUCUCUCUCUUCUAUUUUCUAUGGAGUGAGUUGGUUACUAUAUAGAACAUAUGUAUGUGGGUCUUAUGAGAGGGUUUGGUGAGGAAAUAAAUAGGGCAAGAAGGGAAGCGUGAGGGGAGUUGCUGGGAAUCGCAGGGUGGAGCCAAGGGGUCAUGUGAUCAUGUGGGAUAUUUUUCAUGAAGUGUGUGCGCGUGUGUGUGUACGUAUGUUGUGCUUUGUUGUUUAUUUAUUUAUUUGUUUACAUUCUUUAGUAUAUAUUAGCUAGAUGUUGCGUGAGGUUUUGUGUUUCGCAGGGAAUCCCUCAGAGAGGAAUAUAUGUGGCUCUGCUGCGCCUGUCAUUUAGGUUCACAGGUAAUAAUAUCUCAACAAUUUUUUUAUAUAUAUAUAUUUUCCUAAUAUAUUUAAAUUGUUAUCGUGCAGUUUAAACUUUAAAGUUGAAAAAUUAUAAGAGCUAGCGCAAGAUUUGCCAUUAACAACAAUGUACUAGUUUCCAACAACUUUCUAACUUAAGUGACAUGAUAAAUUUGUAACAAAAUUCAUAUUUCUGAAAAUAAAAUAUGAAAUGCAUAACUUACAAUGAGAAUCCCAUUGGAUACAUUUAUAGUUUUAAUUUUUAAGUUUCGGAUCCAAGACCAAUUUAGUUUUGAAAGGUCAGAAGUUGACGGACGAUACUUUUCUUGAGCAUAUGCUGUGCUGUGUAAAUUAAUUUGUGUGCGACACAUUAGCGUUUAUAUUAGUACAUGAACAGUUCCUAACUAAGGUGGUAGCAAAUAAAAAGUAAUUGUGAGUGUGAUUUAUUUUAUUCUAAAAAUUAUAAUUUGGACUCUAAUUUAGGUCUUGGGCUUAUAUUUCGGCCUUGGUUUAGGCCGAUAUGAGCCUUAAUAUCCGUUCAACAUUGGGCUCGGCUUGGUUCAAAGCCCAUCAAACAGGCUCAAGAGCCCCAUCAAGGCAACAAUUGGGGAAUCAUUGUUUUUAUUUAAAUUUUAUAAAUAUAAAUUAUUUUAAGCUGGUUUGGUUCAGGCUCCACCUAUUUUCGCCCAAAAAAAAAAAAAAGAAAAAAAAAGAAAAAAAAAAAGAGGAGGAGAAACUCCAAACACUAUCUCGUACAAAAAAGAUUGAAGAGUAAAGAGAUCGUAUACAUGUCCCAGGAGUAUAUAUACCCCACUACAUAUAACCUCUAGUGCUAAUAUGUAAGCAAAUUUAGAUAGAUCUCGUUGUGGCUAUUCCGAGCCACACACCUUGAUCCAACAGUUCAACUCUACCCCACCACGAGCAGGCAUAAUGAAGAAACCAACAACAAAUUGUACAAGCAAUUAGCUAGCUACCCAAAACUUUGACCUACGAAUAAUUGCAUCAGCGUUUCCCAAUAACUUCGAACCUGUUUGGUACAUAAAACUAUAGAUAAAGUGAGAAAGCAUUGUUAGCUUAAAAGAAUCAGCAUCUUAUUGUAUGACGGAAUGUCAGGUUGGAUUGAUUCAUAUUUGAAAUGACAUCAAGCAAAGUUGGGCCGAAACAUAUUCAAAGUGGCGUUGUAUCUGUACGCUUUAAGUGAAAGAACUGAGCAUUUCUAACAGCUCGAGUUUUUAGUAUUAAUAGUUAGUACCAACGAUCCGCCAACUGUAACAAUUGAAAGGUUGAGUGUGUGUGUGUAUAUAUAUAUAUAUAUAUAUAUAUAUAUAUAUAUAUAUAUAUAUAAUAUAAUUGAAUUCAAUUUUAUUUUAUUUAAUUUUUUUCACUCUUUCUCGGGCCAAACAUAUAUAUGCACGGGCGUACAGUUGGUUUGUUAAGUCUUAACGGCGGAAACCCCACCGCACCACGCUCAAUAAAGCACGGUUAGUGAGGGACAUGCGCGGCGUGCAAUGGACGUGAGAAUAUGUGGAGGGGAGAAAAAGCACAUGAGGUGCUGGAGAUGUUUGAGAAAGAUGGGCAGAGCCCUGCGAGCCAGAGAUCCUCCAAUGCCCACUUGCUUACGUACAAGAGCCCAUUAAUGUCAAUUGAGACACCUGCUCCCCCGCUAGCUCCAUGUUAAUGUUAUCCGCCGCCUGCUGCAGUAUUCUUAUAUAUUCUUCCACGCCAACACCAAGUAUAUAUAUAUUUACUGUUAGAAGAAGCACCACUCUAUUGAAAUACCUACAUGUAUCUUCUGUUUUCCCUACUGAUCAAAAGCUCAAAUGCUCUUUUGUGUGUGUGUGUGUGUGUGUGUGUGUGUGUGUGUGUGUGUGUGUGUGUGUGUGUGUGUGUGUGUGUGUGUGUGUGUGUGUGUGUGUGUGUGUGUGUGUGUGUGUGUGUGUGUGUGUGUGUGUGUGUGUGUGUGUGUGUGUGUGUGUGUGUGUGUGUGUGUGUGUGUGUGUGUGUGUGUGUGUGUGUGUGUGUGUGUGUGUGUGUGUGUGUGUGUGUGUGUGUGUGUGUGUGUGUGUGUGUGUGUGUGUGUGUGUGUGUGUGUGUGUGUGUGUGUGUGUGUGUGUGUGUGUGUGUGUGUGUGUGUGUGUGUGUGUGUGUGUGUGUGUGUGUGUGUGUGUGUGUGUGUGUGUGUGUGUGUGUGUGUGUGUGUGUGUGUGUGUGUGUGUGUGUGUGUGUGUGUGUGUGUGUGUGUGUGUGUGUGUGUGUGUGUGUGUGUGUGUGUGUGUGUGUGUGUGUGUGUGUGUGUGUGUGUGUGUGUGUGUGUGUGUGUACACCAAAUAUGCUUAAUUUAAUAAAGUAUUGUGUGAAAGGUGCUAUCAAAAGAAACAGUAUAAUAUAUUUUUGCACCAGUCUUUCUCUGUUGUAAAAUCUGAAGUAUAAAAUUAGAAAAUAUGCUUCUUAGUCACUCCAAAAAAGUGUAUACAUGUUACACCCGCAAUCCUAUAGUUGAUAAAAAUCAAAUUGACUUUUAGUAAAAUUUUUUAAAAAAAUAAUCUUAAGAUGAAGUAAAUGUAAGAUAUAGACUCCACUUUAGAGUGCACCUUGUAGCAUUACUUUAAAAUUAGGCCUCGGAAUUAAGUUAUUAUUUUUUGUUAUGGUAAAAGCUUUGUAAAUUUUUAAGCUUUUAAGAAUUCGAUCCGUUAUAGGCGGCUGUAGGUAAUUAAAAGCUGUACGUAACAAAAGCACGGCAAAACAGGACACGGCCAUUUACUCAUCUUUGUCCGUUUUGAUGCGUGCACGGCCUAUGUACUGUCCCUAGCUACUCGAUUUAAUGAGAGUGAUAUAGCAAAAGGGAAUUUCGAUAGCUCCUUCGAUCACCAGUACUAGUCGCACACAUUUUACAGCACGUUUUGCAGUGCGCAUAACAUAGGCUGUUAUGUUAGAUCGUUCUCGAAUGAUGAACUAAACGAAUUUUGUAAAGCUCUGACAUGUCUUUUCAAAAUUAUUUAAUUAUUCUAUCAUCGUUCUUUCUCCCCACUAAGUAAGUAAAGGCAAUUAAUUAAUAAAGAGUUUGCUCCUCCAUAUAUAUAAACCUUGUCACAGCUUAGAAGGGAAAUUAAUUUGCCAUUUGGAUCCAAACAUUACGUGACAUUAAGUGACAGCUCACUCUUCUGAAUCCCACAUGCAAGUAAUUUACCUGUCAAGUUAGAGUUUGUCCGGGUCGGCCGCGUACAAUUACGUACACAUAAAAUCAUAUCAUCCACACAAUUUAAAAGGACACAUCAUGAGAUUCAUGCGAGUAAAAAUGAAUGACACAUUUACUUUAUGAUUCAAAAGACGUAAGUAUUUUUCACCGGCGCUUCACGCCCUCCUCCUCUAUUUAUAACCAACCCUUAUCCUUGGCUUUCUCGGCGCAAUGAAAAAUGGUGAACCCAAAGAGGCUCGUGGAGGCUGCAAGGAGAUGGAACAAGGUGGCGGCGCAGGGGAGAGGAGCCUCGCGCAAGGGCGGGCACUUCGCGGCGUACACGAAGGACGGGUGCCGGUUCCUCGUUCCCAUAGACUACCUCAACUCCUCCAUCUUCCGAGAGCUUCUCGAGAAGUCGGAGGAGGAGUUCGGCGUCGCGGGCGGCCGGCCGAUCGUUCUGCCGUGCGACGCCGUCUUCAUCGAGCACAUCAUGGCGACGCUUCAGACCACGGCGAGGUUUAGAAGAAACGUGUGCGAUCAACAUUGCUAACUUCUCUACCUCAUGCUCGUCAUCAGCUUCUUCUUUCUCCCUUACCUCCUCUCAACACUUCCAUUUCAUGCCAAUAACCUAAGUUAGCGGCACUUAAUAUAUAUAUAUAGAACUAGGCUGGAAUACUAUUAAUAGCACCAAUGAUUUGGUGCUAUUAAGUUUUCUGUCCUUAGAUUAAAAGAUGUGCGGUUAGGAUGAUGCGGACCCCCUAGGGUUGAGUAGGUGGUUGGUUGAAUAAUAUAAUCGAAUGGAUGAAAAUGAUAAAAUAGGUAAAUCUAACGGCAGAAAAUUUGAUAGCACCAAAUACUUCGUGCUAUCGAUAGUAUCCCAACUGGACUCUAUAUAUAUAUAUAUAUUAUAUAAAUAAUAUUCUUAUUUUUAUCUUUUUUGCUCUCGAGUCGUUUGACAUUGAUACUGCUUAUGACUUAUGAGAGUUCCUGCAUUAAUGUCUAGUGUUUAUUUAUGUAAUUCGAGUAUAUAUGUAAUUGUGUUCUUUGGCUAGUGGUUGGUCAUUUGUAGGUACGUACCUCGUAUCAAUAUCAUGUAAAUAUCUCUUUCUAUAAGAGAGCCUAGUGGCGUGGAUUUGAUGAUGCGAUUGCACAUCGAGUUUAUUGUGAUUUGUGAAGGAAUAAUAAUUAUAUAUUAUAUGAGAAUUCGCAAUCAUAGACCGUGAUGUGUCGUGGUGCUUUUGCAUGAGAAGCGUCGGCCCUACAACCGGCAUCGAACGGCUGAGAAAGGAUUCGUCGACGUGAUCCUCGCACAUGACUUUUCAAUCACAAAAAAUAAAAAAAAAAGUUAAAAGAGAAAAGGAAGUUCUAAAAGAGACUAAAAUAUAAUACUUUUAGAAGUUUGAAACAUUUUAUAAAUGUCCAACUUUUAAAAGUGUACAUGUACAUAUAUUAUUCAGAGAAAUGCUAAAUCUACAAGCUACUUUGGAUUGUAUAGUUUACAACUCUACCAAUCCAAAAGCUAUCUUUUUCCUGCAAAUUUUAUCCUUUUUAAACACAAAAUUAAAAUCACCCCUCACAAUGUUUUAUUAUCAUAUAAUUUGUCACCUUUGGUUUAAUUUAUAUAUAUUUUAGGAUAACUUUUUAGCGGAAACAAAAUAUUAUAAAUAAAAGUAAUUAAAAUAGCUAUAAAAAUUCUAUAUGAAAUAAAAGUACGUAUAGUAAGAUAAAUCAAAGCUAAGAUAAAGAAUUGACUUUUUCAAAGCUAAAAUAAGGAAUUGACUUUAUGUAAAUCGAUCAAAGCUAAAAUAAAUAAACAUACAGUAUGGAAUAGAAGUAAACUUUUUAACUCAUUUCUUUGAUUUUGGAUCUUGGGCCAAAUCGAGCCAAGCAUUGUCUAAUUGGGCCAAUUGACACCAAUACGAGUUAAUGAUGAUUUGAUGUACCUAAGACUUUUGACUUUAAUAACAAAUUAAUAAACUAUUCUAAUUCUAAUGACUUUUUCAUGUGAAUCUAAAUCUUCAUCUACAUGAAAAAGCUACUAAUUCACGACCUUCAAGCAUAAGAAAUAUAAUCUUCAAAAAAAUACAAUAAUUCACCUCUCACAACUCUCGAAAAGCCAAUCUGUAAACACCGACAAUUUCUAUUAAAAGUUCUUUUCUUACUUCGCGUCUACUUUUUCAGUUUACGCAAUAAAAAUUUCGGUUGCAGACGUGAUCGCUUAUACGUUAGCCCGAUAAGACGGUCUCAAGUUGAACUCCUCCCUUUAAAACCUGAUGUUGCGCCAAUGUCUCCAGCUCCUUCGUGAUGUUUAACUGCUUUUCCACUUUGAUUCUUAACCAUAGUAGGUGGAAGUGCUUUUAGGUCAAGUCAAUAAAAAGAGGUUAUCAAAGGAGGAUUAGCUCUUCCCCUAAUGAUAAAUAUACCAACUGUAUAUCACUCCGCCCACCACAAUCUCUAUUGUGACCCUUUUUUGGGCCGGGGUGGACGAAAGGUAAAUGGAGAUCUCCAUCAACUAUAUGCGAUUCUAAAAUGGAUCCUUCAUCUUUUAACUUUUUUAAUUGAGAUUUCUCUCUUUGGAGAGGAAAAAUAGCAUGUUACCGCUUCAUCUGUCAGAAAAAUAAAUUUUGCUAUAAAAAAUUGACGCAACUAAACCUCUUGAAAGGAAAGUAAAAAAAUAAAAAGGUUAACUUGACCAGAGGCCUCCGAGAGAUCUAAUCUCGCGCAAGAGUCGACCGAUGUCCGCCUUUUUAUUUUUAAUUGGGAUUUUCUUGACUUUAUUUUUUGUGGAAUCACUACAACAGAAUUGGAUUAUAGGAACACAUGUUUGGAACACUUUUGAAUAAGUGUCAUAUUUAUCCUAAAACUUAAAAAAACAUCUAGUAAUGCCUAAAUAUAAAGCCCAAUCCAACCAAAAAUAAAAGAUUACUCUACUCAACCCACCACACCCAGUCUAUUUGGCCCGAUUACAAACAAAAAAGAAAAAAUAAGAAAACGAAAAACAAUAUACCACAUAUUUUCAUUCUCUCUCACUCCAUCCACUAAAAUUCCUAACGAAACCUUUCCUGCGUCCCUCCCCCAACCCAGCCAUACGAGAUAAUUUGGCGUUGCAAAUGCUUAAAUAAUGUUGGUAAAUACUCACUUUUUAUGUUUAAAGCACACUUCUUAAUUGUCACUAAUACCGAUAGCGACCCCACCAUAUAGCACACUUUUUAAAAGUGUCGGUAAUUCUAGCUAAGUCGACUUUUUUUACAUGUACUACAUUUUAAACUGUCUGCAUAGGACGUUUUUGUGUAUGAACAAGUGGAUCAUAGUCAAAUAAAUAUUUUUUUAAUUUGGCCCAAAGUAAAUGGAACACUUGAUAAAUUUGAUAACAUUUAAGUACUUUUUGUUCAACAAAACUAGAUUAAUAACUGUCCUCAUUAGCUAAUAAAAACAGUUUAUCUAUAUAUUUUUACUUAAGUUUAAUCUAUAAAAACUAUAAGAAUUCGAGAUACCAAAUAAAAUUGAUACCUAAGGAGUCUAAUCCGAAAAGGGUAGAGCUACCGCACAUAUUUGCUUAUGUAAGAAAAGAGGAAGUAAAUAAAAAAUUUAACGACAAAUACGUAUCAAGUAAACAGAUCUCGAAUUUAGAACUUUAAUUAACAAUCUAUAAAGUUAGUUAACUAGGCUAGCAAGGUCAAUGGCAUUCACUUUAAUAAACUCUAUAAUACUUAAUUUAUGUAAACAACAAUGAAGGCUCUAUCUUUUCUUCAUUAAUCCUAUAAAUCGACAAUGAAUGUACAGAAAGAUAUAUAUUCGAGACAUAUAACUAUUUAUAUAUAUAUAUAAUAAUAAUAUAUAUAAGAAGAGAGAGAAGAGAAGAGAGAGAGAGAGAAACGGAGAGAGAAAUAGAGAGCGCGCUAGGCUGUAUACUAUUCCGAUAGCGCCGGAGGCUUUCGUACUACCUAAUGUUUCAAUAACUAGUCUUCCAAAUAACAGAUCGCUCCGUAACUGAAUCAACACAUUAAAAGUAUUUGAAAUUAAACUUCAUAAUUUUCGAAUAUCUAUAUUGGAAAGUAUCAAAAUGUUCUCAAUUGAUAAAUUACAAUAGUAAAGUAAUACGUUUUGAAUUAAUGUGAUAUAUACAAUUCAAAUCUGAUAAAAAUUUUAUAAUUUUUUUUUUUACAUUAGAGAAGACAAUUAACCUAGUAUUUUAAAUUCAAAGUUUUUUAUCAUCAUUUUUAUGAGAUUUUACUUUUCAAACCGUGAUAUUUAGACUACUCGUUUGAUAGGUAAAUGAUAAUCGAAAAAUUAUGACAUUAGUUUUCAAAUACUUUCAAUAUGUAUGAUCAAGUCUAAUGGAAGCGAUUUGAACCUGGAAUCAUUGAAAACCAACUAGAUACACGAGGCCUCGGCUACAUAGUAUACCACUUUUAUAUAAUAUAAUUAUAUAUAUAUGAGUAGAGCUACUAUGCUAUCGGAAGUAUAGAGAAUCUGGUGCUUCCGAUUUUUUGACCCUUAGAUCAACUCCUUUAAUCAUUUCUAACCUUUAGAUUAAUACUAUUAAUCUGUGGGAACCACUCAACCCUUGGGGGACCGCAAUCAUCCCAACGUAUAAUUUUUGAUCCAAUGGUCAAAAAAGUUGGAACUAUCAGAUCCUCUAUGCUUCCGAUAGCAUAGUAGCUCUACACUAUAUAUAUAUAGAGAGAGAGAGGGGAGAGAGAGCAGGGCUGCUGUGCUCUCAGGAGCACGGAGGCCUCCGUGCUCCUGAGUCGUUUUCGAUGAUGAAAUUUUCGAAUCGAAGAUCGGCUCCGUUAGACUUGAUCUAGCGCAUUUGAAGUUUCUAGAAAAUAAUUUUUGCGAUUUUUUGAUAUCAUUUACCUAGUGAUCGAAACAAUUCAAAAUUUAUAAUUUUUAAAGGUUGAUAUCUGCCGUUUUCAAAUUUAACGGUGUAGAAGUAUUCAAAUCAGAUGAAAUUUUGAGAUAAAAUUCUUUAUACUAUCUACAAUAAGAUCAAUAUUUCUGAUCGAAAAUUUUAGUGUUAUAUCACCACUUUUUUAGGAUUUUUAUUUUCAGUCGUUAAAAAUUAUUGAUUUUGAAUCAUUUCAAUUACUAGGUAAAUGAUAUCGAAAAAUCGCAAAAAUUAUUUUCUAGAAACUUCAAAUACGCUAGAUAAAGCUUAACAGAGCUGAUCGUCGAUUUGGAAACUCAACCAUCGAAAACGGCUCAGGCCUCCGUGCUCCUGAGAGCAUAGCAGCCCUUAUAUAUAUAUAUAUAGUAUAGUAUAAUAUAUUAUAACAUAUUAUAUAUAAUUUAUAGAUAUAAUAUACUUAUAGGUCUUGGUGCGCUAUUAGAGCACAGAAGCGCUCCGUGCUCUAAGCCAUUUUUCGAUGAUGGACUGUUCGAAUCGACAAUGUCGCUCCAUUAAGCUUGACUAACAUGUGAAGUAUCUAGAAAAAAAUUGGAUUUUCGAUAUCAUUUACCGUAACUGAUCGAUAAGGGCUCAAAUCAACCGCGAAAAUAAACAUCUCACAAAAAUUUUGAUAAGCUUUAAAAUAUUUCGAUCAAAACAUAUUGAUUGCUGUAUACUAGUUAAAAUAAUUCUAUCAAAACUCAUUUGAUUGAAAUAUUCUACACCGUUAACUGUAAACGAUAAUCAUAACCAUUAAAAAAUUAUUGAUUUUUGGAUCUUCGAUCCUAGCUAAAAAUGAUACGUGAAAAAACACAUAAAAUGAUUCUAAAUACGGGAUAAGUCUAAAUCGGAGACCAUAGCAAAUCCAAGCUCCAUCAUCGAAACGGCUAGGACAGGAGCCUCCUAAUAGCACACAAGACCUACUAUAUAUAAUAUACAUAUAUAAGUCAGCCUACAUGCUAUCGUAUACGAGCGCUCCGUCUAACCAAUGUUUUCGAUGAUUGCGCUUCCAAAUCGACGAUCGGCUCCGUAGACUUCAUCUACACAUUGAAAGUAUUGAAACAAAUUUCAAUUUUUUCACUACAUUUACUAUGACAAAAGACCCUCAAAAAUUGAUAAUAUUAUGGCCGAUGUUGAUGUUUGUGAGUUUAAACGUGUAAGACAAUCCAACGAUGCGAUAAAAUUUAUAGAAAAUCUUACACUAUUUAGAAUAAGAUCAGUAUAUCUGAUCUUGAUGUUAAAUCCUUUAAAUCAUCAUUUUUAUGAAUUUUAUUUCAGCCAUUCAAUUUUAGACACGUUUAUAAGUAAAUAUUCAUCGGUGGAAAAAUUAUGAAAUUAGUUCAAAGACGUCUAAUAUGUUAGAUCAACUCUACGAGCCGAUUUCGAUUGGAAGGCCACACAUCGAAAACAACUGCUAGCACGGACGCUCCGGUGCUACGAUAGUAUAGUAGCUAGCUCUCUAAUAUAUAACUAUAUAUAUAAUACUAUAAAUAAUAUAAUAGUCCGCUACUAAGCUAUUGAUAAGUAUCAAGACGCUUGUACUUAUCGAGUUUUCUACCGUGUAAGAUCUACCUUUAUCAAUUUCUGCCCUGUUAGAUUAUAUCAUUAAACCAACCACCCACUCAACCCUAGGGGACCGCUAUCAAUUUAACCGGGGACCACUAUCAUCCUAACCGCACAUCCUUUCAUCCAACGGCUAAAAACUCAAUAGUACCAAGGGCUUGGUACUAUUGAUAGUAUAGUAGCAUAAUUCUAUAUAUAUAUAUAUAUAUAUAUAUAUAUAUAUAUAUAUAUAAAAUAAAGCUAUUAUACUCUUAUGAGUAUAAAGUCCUUCGUACUCAUAAGUUAUUUUUAAUAAUGAGAUUUUCAAAUCGACGAUUCACAUCAUUAAAUAUAAUCUAAAAUAUUUAAAAUCUCUAGAAAAUAGAUUUUGUAAUUUUUGAAAUCAUAAUAAAAUCCAUCAAUCGUGCACAAAAUGAACGGUCAAAAUCAAACGACAUUCUAAAAAUGGAUGUUCGGAUACUUCAAUUUAAAAUCAGAGUUAUUUAUCUAAAUAGUGAAUAGAAUUUUCUAUCAAAAAUUCAAUCGAUUUCGAUUCUUUUACACCCUUAAACUAGUAAAUAUCCCACACAGACCGUUAAAAAUUAUUAAUUUGAGAUCUUUUAAUUGCAAGGUGAAUGUUCGGAUACUUCAAUUUAAAAUCAGAGUUAUUUAUCUAAAUAGUGAAUAGAAUUUUCUAUCAAAAAUUCAAUCGUUUUCGAUUCUUUUACACCCUUAAACUAGUAAAUAUCCCACACAGACCGUUAAAAAUUAUUAAUUUGAGAUCUUUUAAUUGCAAGGUGAAUAAUAUAAAAAAAUUAUGAAAUUUAAUUUCUAAAAAUUUUAAAUGCACUUGAUAAUAUUUAAUAAUAUGAAUCGUUGAUUCAGAAGCUCUAUCAUCGAAAACAACUUAUAAGUACGAAGGCGAUCGUACUCAUAAAAGUGUAGUAGUCGAACUCUCUCUCUCUCUCUCUAUAUAAUAACCCUUAUUGUACGGAGAGCACCUAGGUUUAAUUAAGGUGCGCUUGGUAUUCAACUUUUUGUAUUUGAAUAUGUCAUAACAUAUUAAUGUUCCUUCGAUUGGAAGCGAAAUGUGUAUGUCUUUUUUUUUGAAAGAUAGAUAGCAUGCUACUCACUUUAUUUAUUUUAUUUAAAAAUAAAUUUAACUGAAAAUAUGAUUUAAUUAAGAUUCAAAUUUGGAACCUCAUGUACCAACCACAAACCUUAACCUUUUGGCACUUAAGAAACGUGUAUAUUUGUGUCUCAACUCUUUAUUUUAUUUCAUUUUUGUUCCGCACUCCUCCCUUUUCCCUAACUCCCCUCAUCUCCCUUCUGCUUUGUUUUUUCGGUUUUGGCUCAUUUCAGAGGCCCUAACUGUUUCCACACUGUACGCUUAGUUUAUUUCGCUUAAUGAAUGAAGCAGGUAGCUCGUUACCUCUUUCUCAAAACAAAGAAACGUGUUUGUCGUUUUGGCUUUUUGACCUAGUGGGUCAAAAUUAUGUCGCUUGAGAUCGAGUGCUUGUCCAUUUCAGUGUCUCCGAGGACUUUGCAUGGAUGCUUCGCGUUUCUUCUUUUCCUACCUUUUAAAACUUAAAACGAUAAUAGUUUUUAAAAAUGUGGGGGGUUGGAAUUGAUUUUAACAUUUUAACACUAAUGAUACAAGCUAAUUAAAGAUGGAUUUUCUCUCAGUAUGCGCACUUACCGUAUAUUAGAGAGAUAAUCGAGAAGGCACAGUAAAAGAUAUGAGUUUUAGAGUUAAGGACCUAGGAGGUUUGGAAUUGUCUCUAAGACCAAUAAACCUCGCAAAUUAAGUGCUCGAUCUAAUAAAAUACUACUCAAGAACAUUCUUACCUAAUGAAAUCAAGUUAUUUUAAGAUCAACCAUUAAGCCAAAUUAAGCCAACAACAUCCAAUCUAUGCAUGAUUCAUAAUAUAAAGGAUUAGAUGCUCAGGCCACGCCGAUAGAACCAUACCACGCAUAUCAAUAAAAUGUCGGCAUAAUACAAUUGCUGUACUGCUGGAAAGACUCAAAAUUUAUUAAAAAUUUAAUAAAAAUAUAUAAUAAAUAAUUAUAAUAUAUUAAUACUAAAAUAUAUAUAUUUUGUAUUAUUAUUUGUCAGCGAAUAGAUAUAUUUAUAAAUAAUACACGUCGAUGUAUUAGAGCACAUACUAUAUUGACAAGUAUUGGGCAUGACUCUGUAGACUAUAGGAUGACGUUUAGGGUGCGUUUGGUUCGCGCUAUCUUUUAAAGAUUCCUAGUAAUCCAAUGGGAAUAAAAAAAUAUGACGGUGUUUGGCUAAACGCACUAAGUAAUCUAGUUGGUAAUAUUGGAUUCACUUGGGAAUAAGAUUCACCCCAAAGUACUAAUCUCAUUUCCUUGAGGGAGGAUGGGUAUCCUCAUAUUAAUGGAUUGGGAUAAUCAUAAUAUAUCUAAUCUCUUUCUUUCUUCCUACCCGCCGGCUAAUUGAUAUUAUUUUUCUUUACACUCUAACCUUAUAUCUCUCUCUAAACUUAUUUUUCUCUCUAAAAUUCAACUUUUUUUUCCUCUCUCUAAACUAAGCUCUCUCUCUCUCUCUUUCUAAAAUUUCAACUCUCUCACUCCCUCUAAUUUUGACUAUAUUUUUCUUUCUAUUUUUUUAAUUAUGCUCUCUCUCUAACUUAUACUCUCUCUCCCUUUUUUCUAAAAAGAUGUUGAAACUUUUGGUAACAUUAUCUAAAAUUAAUUAAAUAAAUAAAUAAAUAAAUUGUAUAUUUUUUGUAAUAUUAAAUAACAUGGCUAAUUAAUAUUACCGUGCGAACCAAAUACAGGAAUUCCACAUUCUUAGUAAUAGGAUGAAUAGGAAUAAGAUUCUCGGAUAUCUUUUAUUCCUAGUAAUCUUUCAUAAUGCGAACCAAACGCACCCUUAAAUCCUUGCAUAAUAUGGUCCCCGAUAACCAAUAAUUCAAGCUACAUGCAUGGCUCUAUCACCAAAGGCAUCAUGUCACACACCAUAAACCCAUAAGUAUACACAAAAAGAAACUUAUUGGAAUGAGGAAGUUCAAAACGUACAUUGCAUGAUAAUUUGCGAAAAGAGGCACAUCUAUUUCUAUUCUACCACAUUAAAGGAGGGUUACAUUAAAGAGAAUUUUGGAGACCAAAGAUUGACACGUGUCCCCUCAAAACCCUCCUUUAUUCUUUCUCUCUCAUUAAAGAAGGGUUUGGAGGGACCAAAGAUUAACACGUGUCCUUUCAAAACCCUCCUUUAUUCUCUCUCUAUACAUAUAAUUAUAUAUUAUAUAUUAAUAUAUUAUAAUAUAUACUAUGAUAUAUAUAGUAUAUAUAUCUAUAACUAUAUAGUUAUAGAUUAUAAUUUAAUUAUAUAAAUUUAAAUUUUGAUACUUUCAAAAUUUUAAAGUUUAAAUUUUAUAAUUUUAUAUUUAAAUUCUAAAUUUGAAUUUUAAUUUAUAACAUUUAUUUUCAAUUUUAAACUUCAAAAUUUAAAAUUUAAAUCUCUAAACUCCAUAAAAUUAAUUAAUUUUUAUUAAUAUAGAUGCAAUUUAAAUCACGUAAAAUAUUCGAUGUAUAAAAAAAUACAGAAUUUAAAUUUCAGGAGUAAAAUUUAUAAAAAUAUAAUGUAUACUAGGGGGGGUGUGUAUACUACUCAUGUAAUUUUUAUUAAACAGUUUCUUUUACAAUUUUAUUUUUCUUCUAUUUAUUGAAAAUUAUUUUGAUAGAUUUAUCUCAAAUCCUUUUCAUAUAAAUUUUUAUAAAAUAAAUUGUUGUAUAAAUUUAUUUUGCGCAUAUACGAAUUUUAAUAAAUUUUAUUUAAAUAGAUUUAAUUAUUAAAUUAUUUUUAUAUAACUUUUAUUUAAUUAAUAAUUAGAGUUAUAAAACUAUAAUAAAAAUAUUAAAAAAAUAAAAUUUAUUAUAAAAAUAAUUUUAUAUCCACAUCAUCGCGUGGUAUUUCACUAGUUUUAUUGAAGGCAUAGCUUUAUAAUGAGGACAAAGAGAUUCUUAUUAGUUCCUUCACUGGGUGGUCCAAGUCCACUCCCAUGAAACCUAAGCGCAAGUGGUAUAAACCUUUUAAUCUAAGGCCCCGACACCCUGACCCAUCACACCAAUCGUCUCUAGAGCAAGUAGCAAAGGGCUUGGUGGUUGGUACCCGAGACCCAAGUUCGAAUCCUAGUUGAUUCACAUUUCCAGUUAAGUUUAUUUCUAAAUGAAAUAAACGAAGCAGGUAGCGUGUUAUCUAUCUCUCUCCAAAAAAAAAAAAAAGAAAAAGAAAAAGAAAAAGAAAAAACGCCCUAGCCCAUCACCCGUCCUAUAUGUCUAUAUAUCUAGCACUUUUGACUAAGAGUCUGAUGAUUAACAUUCGAAAUUUUAAAAUUAGAGUUUAAUUGUUUCACUUGUCUAGCUAACGGAUCAGUUUAUUUCUAAAAUAUGAACGAAACAAAUAAGUUGUUUUUUUUACUGAAAAGAAAAACAUCAUGUCCAACCAAAAUCUUUUAAAGAGAGUAAUAUGUGGCCUAAUUCCACAUUGACUCUAAGCCACCGUUUGGUUCGGAAUUAAGUAAAAAUUUGUUAUUUCAGGAAUAGAGUUAAGUUCAGGAUUAAUAUGGGGUUAGAGUAAUUUUAUAUUUGAUUGAGAAUUGGGUUUACUUCAGGUAUAGAUAAAAUAGUGUUUGGUUAGAACAGGUGUGAUAAAAAGGAUAGUUGGUAAAAUAGUGUUUUAUUUGAUUGGAAUAGUGGGGUGGGAUGGAAUUAGCUAACCCCAAAUAGUGUUUUCCUUAAUUACUAAGUUUAUAUAUAUAUAUAUAUAUAUAUAUAUAUAUAUAUUGGGGCUCAACCGACUCUAUAUAUAUAGGAGGACUCGAUCAGGUGCAAACAAAGAAUAAAAUCAAAUAAGAGAAACUAGCAAAGUCAUGUUGAGAGAGGCGACUGAUGACGUGCAUUCGACCCCUCGUAGUCCGCCGCCACUGCCUGUCUCGGCUCCGCCCUCGCAGAUCCGCUCACCGUCGGUGGCGGCAUCGUGGUUUGCGAGGACGCCGUCGACGAGCGUGAGAGACUACCUGGAGGAGGUGGGCCACCUCGCCGGCGGUGGUGCCGACAAUCGCGAUGCGUGGCUUCCGAUCACCGAGUCGAGGGACGGGAACGCCUACUACUCGGCGUUCCACAUCCUGAGCUCCGGGAUCGGGUUCCAGGCGCUGAUGCUUCCCGUGGCUUUCACUAUCCUCGGAUGGUAUUAAUAUUUUCUUUUAAAAAAAAAAAUAAAUUUAGAGGAUCUAAAAUAUUUUCACACCAUUAAUUACUCUAUUACGAUGGACAGUAGAAAUAAGUUCUCGAAGAUUUAAAAACAAAACAACAAAGGAAGUCGAAGAAGUUUUAAUGUUAUACAUCUUCUAAUAUUUACUAAAGUGACUCGGAGUUGUAUAAUAUUAUUGGCCCCUUACUUUUGUAUAGGUUAGAUACAAAUAAAUCAUGCAGGGUUGUGCUAUGUAUGAAGUUACAAAAAAACAACCAAAGGAAUGGAAAAAUAUUUCUAUCCAAAAGUUAUUUUCAAAAGUUAUUUUAAAUAAAUAAAUAAAUAAAUAUUUUUAUAUACAUAUAUAUACACUUAUCCGAAAAGGUUGAACAAAAAGCACUCAUCAUGCGCGUUAGUGGUGUCCCCUACAUACUCUAUUAUGUGGCUUUAGGUGACGGGAGCAAGAUGACGCCAUAAACACGUCCCAAAAGGCAAAACAAAAAAAAAAUUCACAAAAAUAUACUAAAAGAAAUUUAAAAAAAAAAAAAACAGUAAAUUGCAUGGCCAAUGUGGGGAUUUGUCCUGUAGUUAACCCAACUCAAUCCUUUCCGACCGAGUCACUGUUUGACCCGAAGUAAUCAAUCUCAAUCAAAUCCGCAAAGUACCAACCAAUUAAAUGAUCCAAAAUGAAUGAAAUAUCAUUACUAGUAGCUACAACAAUUUGAGCCGUAUGAUGACGAGUUUAAUAUGUGCAGGGCAUGGGGAGUAAUUUGCCUCACCUUGGCAUUCGUAUGGCAACUCUACACCCUUUGGUUACUCGUCCAUCUCCACGAAUCCGUCCCCAGUAUCCGUUACUGUCGUUAUCUCCACCUCGUCAAAACCAUUUUCGGUAAUAAGCCCCUCCAUUCACUCUACUUGUUUGGCCUGAUUUAUAUGAUGUUCAACAGAUACUUUGAUAAGGUGCAAAGCUAUUAUACUUUCGAAAGUAUAAAAAAAGUUGGUGCUUUCGAUUUUUUAGUCUUAGAAUCAAAAAUUAUAGAAUCGAGAUAAUGGUGUUCCUUUUACUCUAGGAUAAUGAUAUUAAUCCAAAUAUCAGAAAUGAUCAAAAGGAUUAAUCUAAGGAACAAAAAAUUAUAAGCACCAACUAGUUUAUACUUUCGAAAAUAUAGUAGCUCUACUCUUUUGAUAAACAAAUAUUUUUCCUAAUUAGUCAUAUUUAUAUAAUAUUUCUGUAGAAACUUCUGCUUGAUCAUCACUCGUAUACAGGCCCAAAGUUAGGGAAGUGCAUGGCCCAGUUCCCGAUCAUGUAUCUCUCCGCCGGGACGUGCACCGCCCUCAUCGUCAUCGGCGGCGGGAGCAUGAAGCUCUUCUUCGAGAUCACGUGCGGUCCGGCACGCGUCUCGAGGCCGCUCACAUCCGUCGAGUGGUACCUCGUCUUCGUGUGCCUGGCGGUGGUCCUCGCGCAGCUCCCGAACCUCAACUCCAUGGCUUUCGUCUCCCUCGUCGGGGCCGCGACCGCCGUCCUCUACUGCACCAUGAUAUGGGUAAUAUCUGUGAGCAAGGGGAGGCUGCCGGAGGUUUCUUACCAUCCUGUAAGGGGCAAGUCGGACGUUGAUGGAAUGUUGAACGUGCUCAAUGCUCUCGGGAUCAUUGCUUUCGCUUUUAGAGGCCACAACCUUGUCUUAGAAAUACAGGUAUUCAAUCUAUCGUCUCUUUUAGUUUGUUUACAAAGGUCAUGUAUAUGUGACAAUCCAGAAAAGAGUUUAGAGAGAGUUGUCGUACCCAAACACCUCUUAGUAAUUGAACCAUCCUUUUCGCCCAACAUUGCUGUCUCGUCCUAUCCUAUCCAUUUCAGGCCCAAGUGCCGUCUGACCCGCAUAUAAUUUAUCUCCAUCAGAUUAGCUAGCAAUAAUAAUGUUGGUGCAUGCUUAUGUAUAUUUAUAUACGUUUUCAGGCUACCAUGCCGUCAACUCUGAAACGCCCAUCCCACGUGCCUAUGUGGAGAGGAGUCGGGGCUGCUUACCUGCUGAUCGCGUUGUGCAUGUACCCAGUAGCUAUUGGUGGCUUCUGGGCCUAUGGAAACCUGGUAAAGGAGAACAAAGAUUUUGUCUUUUUGAGUACUCAGAUUCAUCAAAUUUUCUCUGUUCUGGUGACACUGUCCAUAUGCUUGCUCCUUUUACUGUACUUAAAAUUUCUCUGCUCUGAAAAGCACUUUCAGCUAGCUAGAGCAAGAAGCUAGAAUUGGCUUCUGAACCCUGGAAGUGGGUGCUCGAAAUGACGCUUCUGCUUCUAGCUAGGGAGAAGCAAUUGAGAGGACCACGAUAAACAAGCUAUACGUUACGGUUCCUAUUCGCUGAACGUCUCGUUAUACUUUAUGCAGAUACCUUCAAACGGGAUCGUGAGUGCAAUGCACAAAUUCCACAGCCAUGACAUCUCCCGAGGCGUGCUCGGACUUACCACGUUGCUCAUCAUCGUAAAUUGCCUGAGCUCCUACCAGAUCUACGCGAUGCCGCCCUUCGACAACUUGGAGGCAGCAUACAUGAGCGUCGCGAACAAACCCUGCCCGCGAUGGCUCCGGUCUGGCUUCCGGGCUUUCUUCGGCUCGCUCACCUUCUUCGUCGCCGUGGCUCUGCCUUUCUUGUCGGAGCUCGCGGGCCUCCUCGGAGGGAUCGCAUUGCCGGUCACUCUGGCGUACCCCUGCUUCAUGUGGAUUCUUACCAAGAAGCCUAGGAGGUACGGUGGAAUGUGGUGCACCAACUGGUUUUUGGGAAGCCUAGGAAUGGGUUUAAGCGUGUUGUUGAUUAUUGGAGGGAUAUGGAGGAUUGUCGACAAAGGCCUCAACUUGCGCUUCUUUAAAGCAGCUCAGUGACAGAUGAAUUAUUAGAAGAAAAGAUGAAGUACCAGAAACCUUAAUGAAGACACGACGACACUGCGGCAUUGUUGAUAAACUAGGGGUGAUGUUCUCGUGAGAUGUAAAUCUAACUGAAAGAUCAAGUGACCGGUUAAAAUACUUUGAUGCAGGAAAAAGGGUGUGAACAUGAUAGACGUAGAGAGGAUCUGAAACCUGCCGGCAGACCUGGCAUUCACAACUGAGCGAGAAGAAUUUAAAAGCUUUCUUUAAAAGAUGCUAAAAAGAUGGAAAAUGAAUUUUCUGCCAAAAAAAACCUGCCUUCUAGGAUAUUUUCCAGGGAACCAGGCUGAAGAAAAGCUGUUGAAGUUAUAAAAGAAUUAUAAAAUUGAAGUAUUAUUGCUCUGCAAAUGAUAAGAGAAUAGAUUGCAAAAUAGAUUAGAAAAUCAAGGUGCAUAUAUGCAGUCUUUCUUUCGAGGACUUGAUAAAAUAAUACUUUGGUGCUCGAAGGCACUAAUAGUUCACAUUGUGCUAAGAAGGGGAAAAGAAAAAGGAGAAAAAAACAAAAAGUUCUAAUCUAGUAAUCUUACAAGAUCUUUGAGCACACUAAAGGACGGAACAUGUCCAUCAAAAACAAGGAACGCAGAUAUAGCCACCAAGCAUAAGCAUGGCACAUCUGGAUAGAAAUAAAGGAUACCAGGGCAGCAGAGAUACUUCUAUCGGAUAUUUGAUAGAGGGCAUAUAUAGUGACAAAAAUACAAAUGUUACAGCAAAAUAGAAAAGAAAAAAAGAAAAGAAAAAUACAACAAAGAACUUACAAGAAGUUUCAAAGAACGCCUAGCUGGCAUGUAUCAACAGCACCGGCAGGAAAUAAUCUCUCUCCAAGUGUAGGGUCGGGCCCUGGCUUGUAGUUCCUCCAUCGGGGGAACCUCUUCGAGGAUGUAGAAUUUCUCUCUCGAGCAGCAAAACGUAUACAGGUUUCUGCAAAUGCCCUUACUAAAUGGAUAAACCCUGUCAGGGACCCCCCUGCAAACGAAAACAUUUGAUAUCACUUCCUCAUUAGUAGCCUUAGCAAUGAUUAGUAAAAGUUAGGGCUCAUCCAAACGCUCCUAUAUAUCAUUACCUCAAGUAGAGAACGCGUUUUCUUCUUGCGAGCUCGUAGGUAGUUUGGUUUGUCAAAGCAAGAUAGCUGCACAUAAAAAGAAACCAGGAUGACUUCUCAGUGCAAAUUGUAGUAUGCUACCUGCUUGAAUAUUCAUCCGAAUAAAGAAGCUAGCGGAGGACUAUGAAAAGAAAAUUCAAUGUCCUUCAGAAUGAAUAAGAUAAAACAAAAUCAACCAUAGAUAACAACUGAAUAUAAAUCUUACCUAUGGAAAAGCAACAAUAGAAGCAAAAAUAUGAGGCAAAAGAUCAAUGCUGCUAACAGGAUUAUGCCAAGGAAAUCCUUCCACCUAAUAUGUCACAUAUGAAGUAUAUGGUUACAAUUUCCAGGUUGCAGAAAACCAACCAAAAUAUAAAAAAGGCUCGAGGGAAAAAUAUUAUGCGAUACUUGUUUAGUUCUUAUCACAGAAGCCCACAGCAACAACCAAGAAAAAUGAGAAAAUGGUGAAAGGUCAAACAACAAUUUAUGGUGACGAAAUAGGAGACUGUACCACUCUUUGUCGAUAUCUGACCGCAAGAAGGAAAUGUACAGAACAACAGUCCAUACUGACAGAAUUGUUUCUUCAAAGAUAUACCACCUAGAAAGCAACAAAAUCUCUAUUACAGCAUAAAGUAACACAUUACACGUAUUUAACAGGACUCAGUAUCUAAAAGUUCAUCAUACAUAACGAAAAGUAUCAAGAAUUGUAAACUCACCAGAAUCGACAAUGAUUCUUCAAGCCAAUGCAUGUUCCGAGCCAAACACAGUGAUGAUCAAACUGAAGGACGCAUUUAUCACAGUCAUGGCAAUGCUUAGAGCGUGGAGGCUGUAAAGGGAUGCAAAAUGUAAGUUCUGCUUCAGAAAUAUGUACAAAAGGAAAUACAGCCCUGAGAAUAUAAGAUUGUAACUAGAGUGAGGAACAUGAACAAAUGAUGAAACCAUUCCCUAAAUAAAUAUAUUGUAAACAGUAGGUCCAUUUUUCUUAGUCUACUAGAAAAGGAGUGGAGUAUAAAAACAAAACUAAGUGCAUGAAUAUUUUUCAAUAGUGGCAACUACAGGAAUUCACCCAACUGCAUACUCAGAGAAGCUACUGAUUCCUGUAAUGUCACAUUUUUUUAAAUGCUUUUUCGGGCACUCAACGGGACUGUAAAGCCAUUAAGCAAAUAUUAGAGAACAAGAAGGUAACUUAUAGAACAAUUCUACAUAAUCUAUAGAAGAAUAAAUGUGCUGAGAUCAAUAAGGUGGAACUUAUAGAACAUUUCUACAGAAUCUAUGGAAGAAUAAACAGUGCUUUCAUUAGUAAAAUCACACAAUGGUGCCAGAGGCAUCUAGUCACAACCAAUGUAAAUAGUAUUGCUUGAUAAGUCAGAACUUAAAGAUUCAAGUCUUGUUGUCAACAACAGUGCCUCUUGACAUGCAGUCAAUGAGGAUGGGUUUUUCCUGUAACUUCUAGAGUCAGUAUCAGAUUAGGAACUUCAUUUUGGAGCACAUUCACAGAAGAGCUGACAGACCAACAUGCCACCUGCUAGUAAUUCAAUAAUUCGUUACUAUAUACAACGUAUUUAGGCCCGCAAAAAAGUACUGAUUAAGUACUCAAGAAAGUGAGCAAUGUGCAUGCUUUUGAAAGGUUUCAAAUACUCAUGGACACAAUCCCACGUUAGAUAGCCAAUGAUUUGAUCCCUCAAAUAGACAUACCACAGAAGUGAAAGUGCAUAUUACAACCUACAAGCUAUAUAGGACUAACACAUCAAACAAUAACUUAAGAAUCAUAAGAAACAUAGAUGCCCUGGGAGAACGACACUAAGAACAUUUGCAUCUAUCAAAAUAAAAAAUUAUCCAAUAGCUUUCAAAAAAGAUAGAAUUAAUAGCAAAACCUGCUAAAAAUAUACAGUCCCUGUAAAACCAUAAGAGAAAAUUAAUUUGUUAAAUCAAAAUGACGGGGGAAAAAAAUCAAGAUAUAGCAACCAAAUAUGAUCAAAAUUUACCUGAAUGACAUUACAGUAAGGGCAAGUCCAGUCCCUGUCAAGGGGGAAGAGGUUAAAUGAUCAAAUUUUGAAUUUUAGACUUCAUAAUACAAUGUGCCACAGAAUAGCAGAUACUAGUAGGAAUCCUAAAAAACAAGAAGGAUAAUGAAACUAAGAAAGCUAUCAUUAUAGCAAGCUUUUUCACAUUCAAAAUUUUACGUGUUAAGACCUACUUUCCAAUGACUGAAUAGUGCUCGAUCAAAGCUGGCACUAUCAGACACUAAAGCACCAUCAAAGCUGGAGAAUCAAGAAAGGCAAAGCUAAGUCAUUCCCUGUCAUUAUUUCCACAUUAGCAUCCUGUUUCUGAAGCUCAAAUUUCAGCAACCACUACCACUACAUGGUAUGUCUUCCUCUUCAUAAUAGUUCUAGCAUUUCCUUAUUUAUUAAUGCAUUCUACCUACAUCUGAAAAUCAUGAUAAAGUAAAUAUGUACAUGACCUGGACAGCAAUUAAUAAGGGAAAGCAUAUCAAGGUUGCAUUAGGAGUGUCAGCUGAUACUUAAGGAAGCAAGGGAGAAGCACAGAAUCCUGUGCUCAAUAUACCGGCACCUUCUUACGGACUUUCUGCCCCUUCUAAGGGAUCUAUUAUUUAAUUACAGUACGCUCGCCAGCCUCUUUUAUCCCCCAUCAGUGACCAACUAUAGAAUAAAACUUUUGUAUAAUAAUUUAGAUAAUGACCAUUGAAAUGACCAAAAAGGAAACUCUAGGCUAUUGAAUUACUUUUAAACAGUUCCUUGGUUUGUCAUAAUUUUAUAUAGUACCUGCUAGAUGAACCAGGAGGGUACAGGUUCAUCACUUGCUGCAACCAUGAUGAUGAAUUUGUCCGUGAAUUAAGUCUUUCCAACUGAUUACGACUGAUAGGAGUCAAGCUUCCAUUUUUUGAAGUGGAUUGUCUUCUCUUAAUCGUCAAAGAAGAACAGCAGGAGUAAGAUCCAGAUCAAAGGAAGUGGGAAAAAAAAAAGAAGAGGAUCAAGCAAGAUAUAAGAUGAGAGCUCAACAUUACUUUGAAAUCAUUGAUGUAUUAAUAAAGGUAGCAUGCAGUUCACUUCCAGCUCUCAUUGCAUCGAUGACAUACCUGAAAGCACAAAAUGCACACGCACAUCACAGACCACCUAUGUCAAUUCUAUUGCAUGAUUUAAAAUGAUUUUGAAGUAAAACAGCAAGAAAAGAAAAAAAAACAAAAAGAAUGAGGAAUGACUAGCAAGUCCACUACCCUGGUGAUGAACCAGAUGCGAGGAUAUACUGAACUAGCGUAACCAGAAGAAGUACCAAGUAUGCUGCAGUAUACCUGAAAAUGCAAAAGAAUGAGGUAAGCAUACAAGAAAAUUGCACACAUAAGAAAAGAAAAGGACUGUAACAAUUAAUGUGAUCAUAAAAAUUCCCCAAGAGAUGAUCACAGGGAACUAUAAGCCAAGUCUUGACAUCAAAUGUUAUAGAAGAAUAUCUUUCGUUAUUCAGUGUUAAAAAUCAACAAAAGAAUGAUAGCACCCACUUCAGGAACCUCAUUGUGCAGAUGUCAUUCUAACCAGGAGUUGAAUUUACGACAAAGUGAGAAAUGAUACUUUAUGAUAAUAAUAGGACUUUUUUGGGAUCUCACUGAAAAAAUAUGAUGUAUUUGACAAAGAUUUGAAUGUUAAAACAUUACGCUUCUCUUUUCUUCCUCCUCUUCUUAAUUGGUUUGAGGCAGUUCUCUCUAUUCACCCUCAUUCAAAUACUUCCAUCUCAUUUAUCUUUCAAACGUUUCUCUUUUCUCCAUCUUUCCACUGCCCUAACUGCUUGCAGAUUGUUUCUCUAGCAAUUUAUUUGCUGCAAAAUUGCUGUGAAGUUUCAUAUUCCUUUCUACUGUAAUAAAAUUUACAAGAGAAAACUUCUGCAGCAAUUGCGACAUUUUAGGGCGACUUUAUCAACUUCAUACGAUUGUAAAACCAUUAAUAUGCAACAGUAAUGACAUAAUAUCACUCUAAGGCGGAAGGGCGGAAGGUGAAUGCAAGCAGGGUGACAAUGUUGAAAAUUUCCGAUGCCGGAGAAAUAGAUAGAACUGGAAAAAAUAACACUUCGUGCUAUCUUGACUGGAGAAAGCAUGAUUAUUGUAAAAGAAAUGUUUAAACAAGUUUAAGAACAGUUGUCCAAUCUAUGAAACACCUAGAGAUACAUUAUUAAUGCUUUCUAGGCAACAUAUAAUUGCCUUAGAUCAUUUUAUCCACAUUUUCCUGGAAUCGUCCAGGACAAGAUACCUAGCACCUCUGUGAAUCUUAAAGCAAAUAUAUAAUGCUAAAUAUAAAGUCCUUUUUACUCGGACCACGAAUUCGCAGCUAAAGUAAACAACUCAAUAGGGACACACGAUACACUGAGAAUAAUGCCCUACAACGUGAAAUUAAUAGAGUUCUCUUAAAGCAACGAAUUCAAGGAGAACGAGAAGUGGGAUCGCAACCAAACAGAAAAAAGAUCAAGAAAACGCUAGAUAAAUUGGCGGGAUCAAAGGGUACCACGGCUCCUCGCGAGUCCUCCGCACCAAAGUUGGAUCCAAGACGAACACCGUCCCCACGAAUACCACGUGAAGGAGCAGCAACAACGCCUUCAAUCCCCACGAAGAUCUCUUCGCUGGAUCCCCGAUCGGACCCCAGAAACCCCAAAUAAGACCAAAAUAAUAAGGGUUUCGAGAAUCCAAGAGAGAACACUACGACAUAGAUAUCGAGAUGGCUCGUACCCCGUUCGGCGACGCUGGGGCACAGCUCGGAGAUCUUCUCCCGCACCUCGCGUAUAGAGGUAGCUCGGAGAUCUGCGUCCGCCAUGGUCACCGACGCAUUCGAGAGCACCACCACCACCACCACCACCAAACGAAGAAGAAGAAGACGACGACGAAGACAAAGACGAAGACGCGGAAGAGACAGAACGGGGGGAUGAGGACGAAGACGCGUAUGGUGUACCGCAGGAUCAACGUACCGCGCGAUGAUGUUUCGCGAGGAGCGAGUUGUGAGUAUUGAUCGGAUCCUCUGAUUAGCUUUGGGCAGUUAGAUCCGCGAUUACGAGAGCGGAUAUACGGUGAUUAAAUUAGAGCCGUCGGAUCCGCGGGCUCCCAAAAACUGGUGAACCCAUCAGGUGACGUCAUAUGGUGGGCCCUAUUGAUGAGUUGGUUGGUUGCGGUGGCCCAUUGCUCACGGCCCAUCCGUUAUCAUAUCCAUUUGUUGCACAAUCUCCCACACUGAUAUAUUAUCUAAAUAAUAUCCGUAUCUACGGAUAAUAUUUUUAUUUAUUCAUUUACUUCUAUCCGUACCUAUAUCUACAUUAUCUACUCAUUUGCGUAACCAUCAAAAAAAACGUCAAAUUUGGUGGAUUAUGGAGGAAAUUUUUUUUGAAUCAGUCCCUCUCCAAAUGAUGGAAAAAAAAAAAAAAGCAAUAUCGGGUAGCAAAAUUUAAAUUCAAACCUUAUUAAGUGCAACAAACAUCGAGCAACAAAAAAAGAUAAUUUAAAUUCAAACCUUUAUUUACAAUUGAUUCAUCAUUUAUUAAAAUUUAUGCCCUUCCACUCUAGGGAGUAAAUUUUUAUUUUUUUUUUAUAGGGAUCAUACUGUUUUUGAAAUAAUCCAAACAGUGAAUGCUGGGGACGGUGAUUUAAAGCAGGUACAUGUGACAAUUUAUUACGAAAUUGACCUACUCAAAUGGAUCUUGUUUUUUUACUUGAAAAUUUGAGUUUCGACAUGAAUUGUAAAUUAAAACCUACAAAAUUAAGUGGAAAAAAUCAACUAUUAUUUCACCCAAUUCCGAAAGAUUGAAUACCCAAAAAAAAAUUAAAUUAAAAUUAAAAGUAAAAAAGAUAAAGAAACAAUCACAGUGUAUGGGCGAAAUUCAAGCUGGGCCCAACCCUUGGUAGUGGAUGGGCCAAAUUCAAGUUGGGCCCAACCCUUGGUUUUGCUGGUUCGAUGGGUCGACCCCUACAAGUGGGCCUUCUUAGUAUAAGUUAUGCAUGGAUUAAUUACUAAUAAAAAAAAAUAAUUAAUCUCAUCUGAUACAAAGCACAAAAAGGACUAAGGUUCAUAGAAUAAGAAAAUGUUAAAAUCUGGAAACUUAGAGAGAUAUAACAUGGGUCUAGAAGUAAUAAGAUAUAUCGAUCAUAUAAAUCAGUAAUCAUCAAAUAAAAUUAUAUGAGAGGCAAUUGCUUAUAUACCCCUUACUGUAAAUCUACUUCAUAUAUAUCUUUCCCUCACAAACAUCUUUCUCAAAUAUACCUUUUUAAAAACUCGAAUUCUUAUAAAUAAAUCCUUAAAAUAGUGGUAUAUAUAUAUAUAUAUAUAUAGAGUGAGGCUACUAUGCUAUCGGAAGCAUGGAGCCUUCCGUGCUUCCAGCUUGUUUUCGAUGUUGCGACUUUCGAAUCGUCGAUCGGCUCUGUUAAACUUGAUUUAGAGUAUUUGGAGUACGUAGAAAAAUAAAUUUUAUUAUUUUUCGAUAUCGUUUGCCUAGUGAUCGAAUGGCCUCAAAAUCAACAAAUUUCAAUGGCCGUAGUGAGCCGUUUGCAAGUUUAACGGUGNNNNNNNNNNNNNNNNNNNUAUGGGUACAUUCGAAAGAAAAGAUAAAUAAAAAAAUUUGAAAUAUUUAUUAAGGCACAGAUGUAAUUUUCUUAACUUUUCAAUUUUUAAUUUUUUUUUAUUAAUGAUAUGUUUUUCAAACCCAUAAACCCAAACCACUAGCUACAAUAAAUAGCCCAGUUCGGAUUUAAACCUACCCAUUUGAACUGCAGAUGAAUACCUACUCCACUUAUUAUAAGGUGAGCUAACAAUAAUUUUAAAGAUCUGACUUAUCGUCCCCAAAGCAAGUGGCAGAAAAUUUGAUGGUUGGUAUUCGAGGUCCCAAGUUUGAAUUCUAGUUGAUUCACAUUUUCAACUAAGUUUAUUUCUAAAUGAAAUAAACGAAGCGGAUAGUAUGUUAUCUAUCUCUCAAAAAAAAAAAAAAAUCUAUGUAUUGCAUAUUUUAUUUGUAAUUUUAAAUGAAGCAUACGAUAACGAUCAACUAAUAUCACUGUCUAGAAUAGUUGAUGAGCAUUAUAGCUUUGAAUUAAUUUUCACUUUGAGUGGGACGUGUGCGUGUUGUGACCUACUACAUAAGUAUGUUUUAGAAUAUAUAUUUAGGAGAUGAUGAUCAAAUUAAAGCUUCUAGAAUUUUGUAGAUAUUUUAUCUGCACUGAAUUAUGUGAUGAUCUACGGGCCACUUAUUCUUUGAUCAGUUAGCCAAUUCAAUUUAUGUUUACACAGCAUCCGAGGCCAAAUGCUUAGCUCCCAUUGGCCUUGUAAGAUGACUCUGCAUCUAAUGCCAAAUGCGAAUGAACUACUCCAACGUUACAUAUAUAUAUAUAUAUAUAUAUAUAUAUAUAUAUAUAUAUAUAUAUAUAUAUAUAUAUAUAUAUAUAUAUAUAUAUGCCAUGCUCAGUGUCGUUUUUCAUACAUACAUACGUGCAAUGUCACAAUUUUAUACUUUAUUUACAGCCAACGUAAAGAUUUAUAUAUAUUAAUUGUGCCGAUCAUCGUGAUAUCAUCACUAUCCAUAAUUUAUGCCCGACAAUUCUAUCUUGAAAAAAAAAAACAUUAAAAAUCAUCAGAUCUCAGGAGUUUUAGUGAAUAUAUAUAUAUAUAGAGAGAGAGAGAGAGUUUGGCUACUAUCCUCUUAAGAUGAUAGAAAUUUUUAUCCUAUCAAGUAAUUUUGGAUGAUAGGGACUUCAAAUUAAUAAUCGGUUGAUCUACAUUAUUAGAAAUAUUUAAAAACCGAAUUUUAUAAUUUUUAAAAAUUAUUAUCGAGUCCAUCAAAUAGUCGAAAAAUGAAUGGUAAAAAAUAAACGAUCUUAUGAAAAUAGAGAUUAGACUUUCUCAAUUUGUGAUCAGAGUUAUUAAACAUUAUCUAAAUGGUAUAAAAAUUUUCUAUCAAAAAUUCAACCAGUUUGGAUUACUCUAUACCGUUAAACAAACAAACGGCUCAUAUAGAUCUUCAAAAACCAACAAUUUUGCAAUUCUUUGGUCACUAUGUAAAUAAAUUUUAAAAUUUAUAAAAUUUAGUUCCUAGAUAAUUCAAAUACUUUAGAUCAACUUCAAUGGUUCAGAUCGUCGAUUCGGAAUCUCUAUUAUAAAAAAUAAUUUGAUAGGACGAAGGUCUCUAUCCUUUUAAAAGGAUUAGCAGCUGGAUUCUAUAUAUAUGUGUUUUUUUUUAGAAAUGAUUCUAUAUAUAUGUGUUUUUUUUUAAGAAAUGAUUCUAUAUAUAUGUGUUUUUUUUUUUUUUUUUUGAGAGAAGGUAGCAUGCUACCGUUUCAUUCAUUGUGAAAUAUAAACUUGGCUACAAAGUGAGGCAGCCAGGCCUCAAAAAAGUUAACAAAAUUAAAAUAAAACUAAAAAUAAAAAUACAAAUAAAAAGAGCAAAAUAGCGUACAAAAUUUAGGGACAGAAUCGAAGCCAAAGAUCUCUGAACGAUCGAAUCUUGGCUAAAGUACCGCAAAGCGGGUUCCUCCUGUUUUCGAAGAUCCUACAGUUCCGCUCGAGCCAAAGGGCCCACCAUGUAGCAGCAAUGGUCGUUAACUCUCUAUCUUCGUAUUAAACAACACAUAUAGGAGUGCUGGGGUAGCAAUGGGUGGAAGUGGAGGCAGAUCUUGGCUGGAAUGGAUUUGAAGAAUGGAUUUGAAUUGCCAUAGGGGGUCGGAAUGGAUUUGAAUUGUCAUAGGGGGCUAAAGCUCUUAUAUAUGUGUUGUUUAAUACGAAGAUAGCAUGUUAUUCAUUUCAUUCGUUUUUCUAAAAUAAACUUAGCUGAAAGUUUGAGUAACUAGAUUUCGAUUUUAGGUUGUCGAAUACCAACCAUCAAAUUUUUUAUAACUUGUGCAUAGAACGAUCGGUGUUUUGAUGGAUAACAGUGGCCAAGUUUUGUAGGUGAAAGAGAUUCGAAUCAAAAUAACUCGUGAUUUAGUAAAUAGACCAGGUAAGUCAUAUAUAUUAUCAGUAUUAGUUUAUAAUGUACUAGUAUGAAUAUUAUUUUUUAUUAUUAUUUUAAAUGAAGAGUAUUUCAUAAAAUCUAAAGUUAUUAUUACGAUGUACAAUGCACAUUGGCAUGCUCAGAAUCAUCAGAAUUCAGAAAAGCCCACAAGCUACUGGGACAUUAUUUUCAUAACCCCAUGUUCAUAGUAAACAAGUAAAAAAAAAAAAAAAAAGGAAAAACCUCUGAAGAGUUCACGAGAUCAACGCACCUUUUUGCAUCGAUCGUAUGAUGCGCAGGUUAAUUUUCCAAUGCUCAUGAUGCAUGCUAUAGGGACGAAAAAGACUCAUGGUACACUAACGCUGCUUAAGCAUGUGAUCGAGGCCCAGGAAUCAAGUGUUCUGUGUACCACAAAGUCAUGCAUGUUGGUGUUGCAACUUUAGAAAAGUUGGAAAUAUCACCCUAUUUUAAUUAUAUCUUUUGCUUUAACACUUGCAUAUUUGUUCAGAGCAUUUGGUUGGUAUUCUUAGUGAGAGUCAAAGUAUAUAUCCUUGCAUGCACACGGAAUGAGAAUAAGAAGGCUUGGGAUAUUUAAUUUGAUAUCAUAUAAAAUAAUCAUUUAUCUCAAUAUAUUUAAAUCUAACAAGAAAUAACAUCGUAUUUAUUCUGGAACACAUGCAUGCACGCAAUAUUCUUGGAUCAUCUCGAUCGGUUGAUAAUCACUCAAAACAGCAGUUUAGAAUUAUAGUUUCCACUUCCUUAAAGAGGAUCAUUGUUUCGAUUAAAGCAGAGGCAUGCGUACAUGCGAUCAAUAACCUGCACAAACAAGCUUGCCAGUUAAACAACUCAUUAGACAAUAAAAUAUGCUACAUAUAUAUNUAAAAAGAUGAAAAAAGUCAAAAAUGAAUAAGAUAAGAAAGCAACAUUGCCAUCCAAGCACACCCUUUUUUACACUAAUUUUAAUCAUUUCUUCUUUUACUUUAUUAUUAAGUGUUCAAAUAAAUUUGUUUAAAUUUUUUUGAUAAACAAUAAAGAUACAGAUAUAGAUAUAUACCAACUAAUUAAUAAAGUCGUUUGCUUAACGUACGGCGAGGGAAUGAGUUGGGGGGAUUGACUGGGGAGGGAAAGUGAGCCGACACCCAACCGACAGUUUGCUCGCCCGAGUGGAGAGGGGGAUGGGUCUCCUCCAUCUCUAAAAAUGUAACGCACCAACUCCACUUUGGACUCUUCAUUUUUGAACGGCAGAUAAAGUCGAAUCGCACUCCAAAACCCUUCGCCCCCACACAAAUUAACCGGCACGAAACGUUCCCUCUCACGUGACCACGUUCCAGUGCACCACCCCUUUAGUUAAUAUAUAUAUAUAUAUAGAAUUAGACUGGAAUAUUAUUAAUAGUAAAAUACUCUUUUUGCUAUCAAGUUUUUAAUUCUUGGAUUAAAAAUUGUAUGAUCAAGAUGAUAUUAGUCGGUUAGAGUUGAGUGGUCUCCCUAGGGUUGAAUGGUCCUCACUGGGUUAUAGUAUUUAAUUCAAUGGUUAGAAAUAAUGAAAAGAGUUGAUCCAAAGGCUAAAAAACUGAUAGCAAUAAUAGAAUUUUACUACUAAUAGUAGCCCAGUUCAACUCUAUAUAUAUAUAUAUAUAUAGUGAGGCUACUAUGCUUUCGGAAUCACGGAGCCUUCCGUACUUUCAGGUCGUUUUCAAUAUUGCGACUUUCGAAUCGCCGAUCGGCUCCGUUAAACUUGAUCUAGAGUAUUUGAAGUACUUAGAAAAUAAAUUUUAUAAUUCUUUGAUAUCAUUUGCCUAAUGAUCGAAGAGACUCAAAAUCAAUAAUUUUAAUGGCCGUGGUGAGCCGUUUACACGUUUAACGGUGUAGAAAUAUCCAAAUUAUGUGAAAUUUUGAUAGAAAAUUUUUUAUACUAUAUAAAACAAGAUCAAUAUUUUUGAUCUCAAAUUUUAAUGUCAUAUUAUCACGUUUUGUAAGGUUUUUAUUUUCAACAGUUGAUUUUGAGCCCCUUCAUUCAUUAGGCAAAUGAUAUCGAAAAAUUAUAAAAUUUAUUUUCUAGGUACUUCAAAUACUCUAGAUCAAGUUUAAUGGAGCCGAUCGACGAUUCGAAAGUCACAACAUCGAAAACGGCCUGGAAGCAUAGAAGGCUUCGUGCUUCCAGAAGCAUAGUAGCCUCACUCACACUCUCUCUCUCUAUAUAUAUUGAGUUAGGCUAUUAUUCUAUCGGUAGCACGGAGCGCUCCGUGCUACCAAGUUAUUUUCGAUGAUGCGGUUUCCAAAUCGACGAUCGGCUCCAUUAGACUUGAUCUACACUAUUAAAAAUAUUUAGAAACUAAAUUUCAUAACUUUUCGAUACCGUUUACCUAUCAAAUAAGUAAUAUAAAAUUGAACGACUGAAAAUAAAAAUCUCAUAAAAAAUGAUGAUAAAAGAUUUAAAUUCAAGAUCACAUAUACUGAUCUUACUCUAAAUAGUGAAAAUAAUUUUCUAUAAAAUUUUUAUCGGAUUUGGAUUGUUUUACACCGUUAAACUCUCAAACACACCACAUCGGCCAUUAAAAUUGUCAAUUUUGAGAACUUUUGAUCGCUAGUCAAAUGAUGUCGAAAAAAUCUGAAAUUUAGCUUCCAAAUACUUUCAAGUGUAGAUCAAGUCUAACGGAGCCGAUCGUCAAUUUGGAAGCCGCAUCAUCGAAAACAACUUGGUAGCAUGGAGCGCUCUAUGCUACCGAUAGUAUAGUAGCCAGACUCUACACUGUUAAACUUGCAAACGGUAUACAUCAACCAUUAAAAAUUGUUGAUUUUGAACCCUUUCGAUCGUUAGGUAAAUGAUAUCGAAAAAUCACAAAAAUUAUUUUCUAAAUACUUCAAAUAUGCUAGAUCAAGUCUAGCGGAGCCGAUCGUCGAUUCGAAAGCUCCAUCAUCCAAAACAGCUUAGGAGCACGGGGGCCUCCAUGCUCCUAAUAGCACAGUAGCCCUAUUCUCUCUCUCUCUAUAUAUAUAGAGAGAGUCUCUCUCUCUCUAUAUAUAUAGAGAGAGUAAGGCUACUGUGCUAUUAGGAGCACAACAGUCCUUGUGCUUCUAACUUUCUAACCACCCAUCAAGUUUGAUGGGUGGUUAGAAUAAGAGCGGGAUGAAAUAUGGGUGUCUCAAUUUCUCUUCUCCUUAAAUUUCUCUUCAAUAUUUCAUCCCUCUCUAAUUCUAACAAGUCAUCAAAUUUGAUGGGUGGCUAGAAAGUUAGGAGCACAAGGGCUGCUGUGCUCCUAAUAGUACAGUAGCCCUGCUCUAUAUAUAUUGAGAGACAGUAGGGCUGCUGUGCUCUUGCUAUUAAAACAUUACCAUCCAUCUAAAUAGAUGGAUAGCUGAGAUUAAAUUUCCUUUUAACUGGGAAACUCACUGUUAGAUGGGUUAAAGUUAACGGAUUUUUUCUCUCCCAUCUUUUCUUCUCUUUCUUUUUUCCUUUUCUCAUCUCCUUUGCGCGCGGUGCGGGUGCCAAAGGGUCGCGCCCGCGCUAUGCACGGGGGGAGGGACAGAGGGUUGUGUCGGCGGGGUUGGGAAGUUGGGUCGCACGGGGGUUGGCGGAGGCAGAGGCCGCGCACGCACUGGGGUUCGCCUCGGUUUGAGGGGGGAGCUUGGGUGGGCCGCGCCACUCGCACGAUUUGGGAGGGGCGGCGUGGCGGGUCGUGGGUGCGGAGGCGCAGCCGUUGCCCCUUGGCAGGUUGUGCGCGGCAAGGGUCGGGGAGAGUGGGGUAUUCUAGAAGAGGGGUUUGGGAAGAGGAGUUUGAUGAUUCUAUAGGAGAUGAAGAGGGAGCGAGAUUGGGGGAGAAGAGAAGAGAAAAAGCAUUUCACUGUAGAGAGAGAGAGAGGGAGAGAGAGCCUGCGAAGGAGACAAGAGAAAAGGAAAAAAAAAAAAGAGAAGAAAAGAGGAGAAAGAAAAAAUUUGUUAACUUUAACCCAUCUAACAGUAAAUUUUCAGUUAAAAGAAAAUUUUAUCUAAGCCAUCCAUCUAAAUAGAUGGAUGGUGGAUGUUUUAAUAGCACAGGGACUGCUGUGCUAGAGCACAGCAGCCCUACUCUCUCUCUCUAUAUAUAUAUUACUAAAGCACCCACACUACAACUUUUAUUAAAAAUAACAGGGAUAAAUGGCCCAAUAGUCCAAUAAUAGCUUUAACUUUGGCUAUUUUGCAAAUAGAUGUCAAACUUUUAGUUUUAAUAUUUUUAAAUUUUAUCAAAAAAUUUAACAAAUCUCUUUCCUAAGUAUAGUUAACAAUUGACAGAUUACUUAAAUCACAUGUCGUGUACACAAUUUUAUAAAAUUUUAGCAUACAAAAAAAAAUAUAUAUUUUUCUUAAAUUUUUUAUAAUUAAAUACGAGAUUUGAAGAAACUAACUUUAUUUUUUUCUUUCUUCUGUACGUUAGUAGAACAUUAUUAUAACUACUAAACUCGUCAGUGCAUCAUCUAAAUUAAACGUUUCUUUUAAGUAUUCACGAUUCUUUAUAUUUUUAUUACCUGCAUAUAAUUACUCUACAUGAUUACACGUGUCAACCAUCCGAACCGUUAGAAACGCUCCAAGUUUUGAACCCGCGAGUGCACCACACCCGUCAUAAGCCUCGGUAGGCGUUACAUCACAUGGCUUCGCGCCACGGCAUCCCCCCACCGACUUUCCGAACCCGUCCACCCGACGCUGACGUCGCGGGCCCCACGAAGCGUACUAUCUGACACGUGGAGCCAUUCUACUCGCUGUCGGCAAGACGAGUCCCAUUCCCCUCUCUCUCCCGAGGAAUUCUACACUGUCACACUUGCACCACGUCAUCAAUAACAAAUCAAUCACAUUCCUUCUUUUCAAACAAAAGUACAAUACAAAUAUUUUUUUACAAUCAUGAUGGGACAUAUAUUCUUAAAAGGAUUAAUUUGAUUGGUUUGUUACGCCACGUCACUAAUAUACCCGUUGCAUUCUAGAAUUUUUCCUCUCUCAGGCCAUGCCUCCACUGUCGGUGACAGCAUAGCUCAUCCCAGUUCCAUCUCUUCUGUAUCAAUUCCGACAGCAUAGCUCACCCCAGUUCCAUCUCNUUAUUUUUAUUAUUAUUAUUAUUAUUUAUUUUAUUUCCCUCUUUAUCUUUUUUAUUUAUGCUGCAACCCUUUUCCAAUUCGCGUCGGUUACGCGUAUUCAUGUAGAGGGACCCACGUAAAAGCUCUAUAUAAACCCACCGCCCCCCACAUUCUACAUCCGCAGUAACAGCGAAAUUCCACUUCCUAUCUAGCAAAAGCACUUCAUUUUUCGCUACACCACCACCUUUUCCUUUUUUAUUUUAAUUAAUUUUCGUUCUUUCUUUUGCGUUUUUAAAGUCCAAGCUAGCUUGUACAAUGGAGGAGGAGAGGAAUCAAAACCAAAGCGUGGUGAGUGGGGAAGAGGGGAGAGAGGUGGAGGUUAAAGACCGGGGUUUGUUCGACUUCAUGGGGAGGAAGGAGGAGAAGGAGAAGGAGAAGGAGAAGAUCGAAGAGGUGGAUUUGGUCGCAGGAAUGGAGAAGGUUCGCGUCGACGAGGUCGAGGACAGGAAGGAAGAGGAGAAGAAGAAGGAGGGCUUCUUGGAGAAGCUCCACCGCUCUCACAGCUCUAGCUCUAGCUCUAGCGCGGUAAUAAUUAAUAUCGCAUGAAUAUGCAUGUUCUAUGUCUAUUAAAUAUAUAUAUAUAUAUAUAUAUAUAUAUAUAUAUCAGUGUCGUAAAUAUACGGUGCUAACAUCCGUAUCUUUGUUUUGUGACGCAGUCGAGCGAUGAGGAGGAAGGAGGAGAGGGAGAGAACAAGGAGAAGAAGAAAAAGAAGAAGGGGCUAAAGGAGAAGAUCAAGGAGAAGCUCGGGGGCGGCGACAAAGAAGAGGAGCCCAAAGGAGAAGGGGAGAAGGAGACGGUACAGGUGGUGGCUCAAGAGGAGUUCGUAGAAGCAGUCCCCGCUUACGACGACGACACCGCGGUCACAGUGGAGGUUGUGGAGGGGACGGUGAAGCUCGACGGAGCCCCGGAGGGUGGUGAGAAGAAGGGCUUCUUGGAGAAGAUCAAGGAGAAGCUCCCCGGCCACAAGAAGCCCUGCGAAGAAGCAGCAGCCCCCACCGUCGAAACUGCGGCGGAGUGCGCCAAGGAGAGUCAUGAUACUGUGGCGGAUGCUAAUGAAGGGUCGAAGGAGAACAAGAAGGGCUUCUUGGGUAAGAUCAUGGAGAAGUUGCCUGGGUACAACAAGGGUGGCGAGGAGAAGGAGAAGGAAACCGAGAAAACCAGCGCUUGUAACUAGGUGUGGUUCAUGCAUGGUGAUCGAUCACCUGAUCAUCUUAAUUUUUAGCACAUGCUUGGUUUUGUUGUGGGUAUGUAUGUUUGUGUUUUGUGCAUGCUUGGGUUGUGUAGGUUGGUUUUGAUCUGCUUGGUGGGUCUCGUGAUAAUUAAGCCGUCUGCUACUUUUUUACUCUGAUGUUGUUUUUUUUUUUAUUUUUGGUUUUUUUUUUUUUUGUGCUGAAGCUGUGGUUAAAAAUGUGAUCGGAUAUAUGGUCGUAUUCUUGUACUUCUAUAUAUUCACUGUGAAUUAAUGCAUAUAUAUAUCAGUGCUUAAUUAUAACUGUUUAUUUAUUAAAAUUGUUGAUUCUAUUGAUAUAAGCGGGCGAAAUUUGUAGUGCGGUGUAUGAUUUAGAAUUGAGGGAAAGGAAUCUCUGGUGAAGCUCUCAAUGGGCUCUCCCGGAUGGCCCGGAACAAGUUUUACUAUCGCUGAGAUCAAGCCGUGCCGAAAAUUAUUGGGCCGGCCUGCUUGGUCGGUGUUGAGCUCAUUGUAAUGUAUGGGCGUUUUGGUACCUUAAUCUUUAGUUGACUGGUGAGUUGAAUUUUGGCAGUAUCGAAUUGGAAAUUUUGAUUUUCUUGGCCCGGCAAUCAUAAGUAGAUGCAAGUAAAUUUCAUGUUACAAACAUUCUUGAUUUUUCACUACUCAUUCUUGCGAGGCAAGUUAGUUCAAUGUACUCUACUAAAAUCGGGCAAAAAUUUCCUGGGCAUCGCCCCCAAACAAAUUGUUUGGGGACGAUGCCGAUGGGCGCGACCCUCAAAAACCCAAAAAAAAAAAAAAAAUUGUGAACUCCAUUUUUUAGAGAGAGAUAGAGAGAGAGAGAAGUUGGGGGAGGGGAGGGCGAGGAUGGGCGCGCGCGGGCCACGCGGUGCACAUCUGCAUCCUCCCCAAACUUUUGGGGAGGAUGCCCAUACAAUAUUUACCCACUAAAAUCAAAACAACAGUAGUUAGACAGUAAGUUGGAAACUUUAAAAUUCUUGCGAGGAAUUUCAAAAUGUUUGCUAAUCCAACUAAAAUCAAAAUCACAAGUUUUGCAGGGCAAAUAAUCAGAGGGAGUUUUAAGAUAACAUAGUGAAGAAGAUAAUCUUUUAUAUACUAAUAAGUAUGCCGAGUAAAAAAAGUAAAAUUAUUUUUUAACAAAUUAUUUAUUUUUUAAAAAAUAAAUACUAUUAGAUUAGAGAUGGAGCCUUGCCUUGUUAAAUGUAAAUUUUAUAUUUUUUUUUAACAAAGUAACUAAAACGAUUGUUAAGAAAGGGGGAGAGAAUCCAACAUCAUCCUCUACCUUAUCCUUUCAUCAUCACCACCAGAAGCCUCCCACAGCAAAAAAUUUCACCACCGCGUCUCCUCCUCUCACACACUCUUUACUCUGCUCCGAUGGAGGCCGUGGUCGUAAACCCCUCCCUCUCCCGUCUCAAGCUCCCUCCUUUAAAGUCCCAGACCCUAACUUUCCCCCGACCGAUCCCCACAACCUUAAACCCUCAUCUCCCCCGCCGCCGCCAUUAUCGCCUCCUCUUCGCCUUCCGAGACCAGUCCCCCCAUCCCCCAGUAGCUGCGGAUGAGGAGGAGGAGGAGGAGGAGGAGGAGGUGGGGGAGUACUACGGCGAGGUGAAUAGAAUCAUCGGGAGCCGCAGCGUGCGCGCCCCGGUGUUCUCCGACGACGGGUCGGCGACCGCGGAGGCGUCGACGGAGUACCUGGUCGAGUGGAAGGACGGGCACGCGCCGUCGUGGGUGCCCGCCUCCGGCGUCGCCGCCGAUGUGGUGGCGGAGUACGAGACCCCGUGGUGGACCGCCGCCAAGAAGGGCGACGCCGCGGCGCUCUCCGCCCUCCUCGCCGACCCCUCCGCCGCCCGCGACCCCGACGCCCAGGACCCCGACGGCCGCACCGCCCUCCACUUCGCCGCCGGGCUCGGCUCCGACGACUGCGUCCGUGCGCUCGCCGAGGCCGGCGCCGACCUCGACCGCCCCGACCGCGCCGGCGGGGGCCUGCGCCCGCUCCACAUGGCCGCCGGGUACCCCGUCAAAACAAAACAAAACAAAACAAAACAAAAACAGCCCUUUUUAAUUUAAAAUUAUUUCUCUAGCAUUAGCAUUGAAUCCAUGCUUUGGACAGAUACGGGCGCCCCGCGGCGGUGCGGGCGCUGCUGGAGGCAGGGGCGGAUGCGGAGGCGGUGGACGGGAGGGGGCGGACGGCGCUGGAACUGGCGAGGGAGGUGCUGGCGGCGACGCCGAGGGGGGACCCGACGGCGUUCGCGAGGAGGGUGGGGGUGGAGGCGGCGGCGGCGGAGCUGGAGGCGGCGGUGUACGAGUGGGGGGAGGUGGCGCGGGUGGUGGAGGCGAGGGGCGAGGGGAAGAGGCGGGAGUACCUGGUGGAGUGGCGGGACGGCGGGGAGAGGGACUGGGUCAGGGCGGAGUGGGUCGCCGACGACGUGGCCGCGGACUUCGAGGCCGGGCUCGAGUACGGCGUGGCGGAGGCGGUGGUGGGGCGGAGGGACGCGGCGGAGGGCAGGGAGUACCUGGUCAAGUGGGUGGACAUCGAGGACGCCACCUGGGAGCCGCAGGAGAACGUCGACCCGGAGCUCGUGCAGGAGUUCGAGCGCCAGCAGGCGGCGGCGGAUAGACCUGGCGGUGCGCCGCAGGAGGCGCUGCGGCGGUGGGCUGAGAAUUUUUGAUACAGCUGAUUCAUUGUAUUGUAUGCUUGUUUUCUAAACUUGAGUAAAAUUUAAAUAAUAACAGUGUAUUAAUUAGUCGAUUCUUUAUUUCAAUUGUCGGUCUUCAGCGAGAAAAUAUAAGCCAGCAUUGUGCUGUUCACCGUUGGCUAUUAUUACUGUGUCUAACCACCAAUUGUCCUGCGCACGGAAUUACUUACAAUAUGGGCUCCCACUGGGAGUCCCCCUGUUGUGAGUUCUAAUCAAAAUUGUAGCAAUUCUUACUUACAAAACAAGGUUGCAAGAGGAAGGAGUACAAUGUCAGAAUGUGCCGUCCUCGCGGCGGCGGAGCGACGACCAGAACGGCGGAAAUGUUUUUUUGACAUAAGCACAGCCGCCGCCACCAUAUGCACCGGAGAAGGGGAGUCGUGUGUGCAUAAAUGUUGACGAGUUUUAGCUCCACGAGAAGUUUUUCUCUCGUUUGUUUGUGCAUGUAUGCAUGCGCACACGCAUACAUGAAAGGAAGGUAUAGGGAGCCAUGCCCCAAUAAAUUAAACCCUUUUUAAAUCGCUCAAGUGGCUCUUUGGCUUCAAUUUUUGGUCUUAAUUUUAUAUUCAAAGUCAAAUCUAAUGAACUUAACAGAGAUAUUCGUUUCUUGCUUCGCAUAAAGAUAAGUAAAAAGACAAAUAAAUGAAAGAAUUAAAAAAAAAAAAAAAAACACAAUCCAUCGUGAAGCGUCGUGUUUCUCCUAUUGGGAGUGCGUGACAUUCACGUUUCACAUGUCACAAUAAUUGGGCUACGUCCGGUGAGAUUGAAUGUCAAAACUUAAUUUCUCUCUUAAAUAUCAUUUAAAAUAAUAUAAUAUGAAAUAAUCUUUGUUUCUAAAAAUUUAAAUCGUAAGAUUACAUAGGUUUUAUAUUUUACAAGAUUAACAACCUAAAUGUACAUACAAGAGAAAAGAAUAACAAAAUAAAAUAGAAGAAGAAUAAAAGAACACGUUUUAGGACGAGCAAAUUCAAGAAAAGUGAAAAAAAAUCAAAUAGGAAGGUAUUAAUUUUUACACAUAUUUAAGGUAUUUUUACAGUUGACGAAUUCAUUAUUGGACUACUCGAAUAAUUACUAAGAAUUACGGUUGACCAAUUCGACUUCUAAUUUUACAGUUGACAAAUUCAUUAGAAUAAAAUAACUACCACAAAAUUGCUAUCCAAAAUAGAAACUUUUGACUAAUUUAUUACCUUAAAAAUGUAGCUCUUAAGCUCUAUAAUUGGACGAAAAAAAUUAAGCCAAGUAAAAUGUGCAUCAAUAUAAUCCGAACAAUCAAUUGAUAAAAUACAGUGCAAAACAUGUGGAAGGACACAUUUUGAUGGAAAUGUGAGGCCACUCUUCUCCACGGCUUGUGGUUGGUUUUGUACAAUUUAUAUGGACAUUUGAACGUGCCAUAGUGUGUAAAAAAGGGCCACUCACAAAUCCUCAUACCACAAAAAAAUGGCGCUUCUUAUGUUCUUCGCCAUCACCUUCACGCCCAUGCUCCACGGCGCACCGCGAGUUACUGCUUGUGUUCCUGCGAUAUACGUGUUUGGGGACUCUUUAGCUGAUGUCGGUAACAACAAUCAUCUCGAAGUCGCGGAGAUAAAUAAGGCGAAUUUCCCUCACAACGGCGUCGAUUUCCCCGAUAGGGUUUCCACAGGGAGGUUUAGCAAUGGCUACAACGGCAUCGACUUCAUCGGUAUGUGAACUUAUGAUAUCACUUUUUAUUUGAUCUUUCGAAAUUUGUUGUUUCAUCUCAUUCAAUGCUUUCUCCUUGAAAUCUUUCGUUUUAUAAUUAGUUGUCUUUGAUCACUCAAUUGCUUCUUAUGUAUCGGUCGAUCGGGAGCGAAUACGAACUGAUUCAUAUCGUUUUAAGCUAAUGUGAUUUUUAAGUUAAACUAGUUUCAUUUGACAUCCUUGUUGAAGUUCAUUAUAUGGUUUUAGUUCUUGUAAUUUCUCACAAAAAGUGGUAAUGUUAUUACAACUGCACCUACAUGGUUAAAUGACUUUUUAGGUUUUGGAUUAUGACAAUAGUCUAUUAAACAUGGGUUAUAGAGACAUCAUUUUCCAAAUUUAACUAUGCAACCGUAUUGUUCGGUGUACUAUUUGAAUACAUGAAUAUAUUAUUCAAUGUAUCUCUCCGAUAUAUUUAAAAUUUUGUAUGUUUGGCUGACGAGUAAUGUAACCAAUGUCUAGAAUUGAAUACUAUAUUUGAUUUUUAAAUUAUUUUUUCAGAUAAAAUAAAUUAUGUUUUAUGUAAAAUAUGUUAUGUUACCAAAUUAUGAAUGAUAAAAUAUUUUAAAAAAUAAAAUUCAGACUCUUCUUUUACAAUUACACUAGAAAAUUCUUACACUGAAUAAUUGGGCCAAAGUGUUUUAGAACCGAGUCAUGCCAAACAACACAUGCUUAAUUGGACCCACUUUUUGACAAAUAUGCAUCUAAUCGCUGUAUUUUUCUUUUCAAAAUUUUGUUGGAGUAAAAAUCAAACCAUUUCUUUUAUUAACUUGUCAAAAAAUUUUCAUUUAGAUCAUUAAAUUCUAAGUUGUAGCAAUUGAGUUACUUUAAUAUUUUUAUUUUGGUCAGACUAUUUUGUCGAACACGUUUUAAUUUCUAUAACCUAAAUAAUGUGACAAUCAAUUCAAUUAUUAUAUCAUCUCAAAAAAGGAAAAAAAAACUGGUGCAAAAAUAUGCAAGUUGAUCAGAAGUUUAAUCAUCUCCGGAUUAACAAGAUUCAAUUGUCCCGACGCCAUUACGCAAUAAUGCGUCAAUUGAAUCAAUAUAUUUGUAUCAUCACGUCAACUCUUGAAAAUAAGGUGAGAGCUGAAUUAAUCUCACUUCAUCCUUCAAAUAAUAAUCUGAAUGAAAUUUGAUAUAAACAACCAAAUUGUGAUAGAAGUUAAACUUUAAUAAAUAAUAAUUCAAUUACAAUAAAUUACUAAAAUAAAUUUGAAGUAGAACCAUUUUAGUGGCCUCGAGCAAUCAUGCCACUUUUAAUUUACACAAAAAGAGGAGAACACAUCAAUUCAAAUGCGACAAAAAAAGUCCCAAAUGAUGGAAAGGACUAAAAAGAAAAAAUGGCACAAGUUGUGUCACUACCGGUACCAAACAAUCUAAGAAAACAGCGAGACAAUAUUACUUGCUACGAGUAAAAUGAAAAAUUAAAAAAAAAAAUCUUGGAGAAAGCAAAGGCAACAGAGCUUUUCUGAAAAGCUAAGCUGCUAUUUGUUUGUGAGGUUUGUCAAAUAUAUAAAAUUUGGUUUCUAGCAACUUAUAUUUAUAACGAUUUGACACAUUAGUAAUAAUAAUUCGUUAGACCUAAAUUACUAAUCCAAAAUAUUUAAAUUUAAUUAUUAUUAUUAAUGUGUAGGCCUUAUAUGACCCUAAGGGUGCGUUUGGUUCGCGCUAUCUUUUAAAGAUUCCUAGUAAUCCAAUGGGAAUAAAAAAAUAUGACGGUGUUUGGCUAAACGCACUAAGUAAUCCAGUUGGUAAUAUUGGAUUCACUUGGGAAUAAGAUUCACCCCAAAGUACUAAUCUCAUUCCCUUGAGGGAGGGUGGGUAUCCUCAUAUUAAUGGAUUGGGGUAAUCAUAAUAUGUCUAAUCUCCUUCUUUCUUCCUACCCGCCGGCUAAUUAAUAUUAUUUUUCUUUACACUCUAACCUUAUAUCUCUCUCUAAACUUAUUUUUCUCUCUAAAAUUCAACUUUUUUUUCUCUCUCUAAACUAAGUUUUCUCUCUCUCUCUCUCUUUCUAAAAUUUUCAACUCUCACACUCCCUCUAAUUUCGACUAUAUUUUUCUUUCUAUUUUGUUAAUUAUGCUCACUCUCUCUAACUUAUACUCUCUCUCCCUUUUUUCUAAAAAGAUGUUGAAAUUUUUGGUAAAAUUAUCUAAAAUUAAAUAAAUAAAUAAAUAAAUUGUAUAUUUUUUGUAAUAUUAAAUAACAUGACUAAUUAAUAUUACCGUACGAACUAAACACAGGAAUUCCACAUUCUUAGUAAUAGGAUGAAUAGGAAUAAGAUUCUCGGAUAUCUUUUAUUCCUAGUAAUCUUUCAUAAUGCGAACCAAACGCACCCUAACAGUCUCGUUGGGUCCAAAUUCUAUGGAUUCAAGAGAUGACUCUUAUCAAAUCCGUUGGUGUAACAUUUUGCCCUGCAUAGAGCUUAGUUCUUACACUUUCGACUGAUAUUUAGCUCUGAUACUAAUUAUAACAACCUGACCUGCUAGUAAUAGUAAUUCGUUGGAUUCAAACCACAGGUCCAAAAUAUUUAAGCUCAAUUAUUAUUAUUAACGUGUGAACCUCACAUAUUCUAAUCAGAAUUAUUUUUUCAUCCGAUAUGAGAUUAUUGGUAUGUUAUAAUAUUUGUAUCGUUUAUUUU
rnacentral:lncRNA from 1 species